rnacentral:lncRNA from 1 species
AUAAUAAACAAGGUAGACGAAGGAUAUUCAAUACAAAAAAUUACAUAUAAUAUAAAACAAUUACAUUAAAUUAAAAAAACAAUUACAUUAAUUUUUUUAUAAAAAAAAACCUACACCUAUCUACUAUCUCUAGUCACAGACGUCAAACCUACAAAUGACAUAAAAGUAGUGUUUGAAUAUCACAUAUACAAAAUUAAACAAAUUAAAUGUUGAAACGUACGCACCCCAAGUGUUUACAGUCCUCUCUGUGCCUAACUCAUCUCCUCGAUCAUCUUCUUCAUCUCCUUCAUUUGUCGUGUAUGAUCUGCUAUUUAUCGAUCUCACUCCUUCUCCCUCAGGCAUUGUUCUUCAAUCAUGUGGUUAAAAUUUUCAAGAUUGGCCUUUAGUUUGCUAACCACCACCAUGUGUGCCUGGUUGUCAUAAAUAUUGGAGGAAGAAGCAUAAGCAAAACUCUUCCUGAACUUGGGUUUAGGGCCCAAUCAAGACCUUUUAAGUAGUCUAGUUGUCUACCCAAAAUGAUCUCACAUAUCUCAUCCUCAGAUAUUGGUUAAGAACCCUCUAGGACGGGUUGGGACUGGGAGAUGACCAAUAGAAGUUUGUAAGUUUGGGAGAUGACCAGACUUAAAAGAAAAAUUGAAAGUAUAACAAAAAGUUUUCAUAAACUUAAAAAAGUGUCCUUUACUGCUUGUGAAACGUACUCGCCAGUACUACUAGCGUGCCUUUCUUGGAAUAACUCGACACGGUCCACCAGGCGAUCCUGAAAUUCAAUGAGCUCGGUUUAUCUUUGAAGGAACCACUUUGUGCCUCUGCUGUGGUUGUAAGGUUGUUGCGCCAUAGCAGCCUUGCACAUAUUUGAUUGCUCUAACAUUCCAAAAGUGAUUAUCAAAACGUUAUACUUUCAAACAAAUUAAAUGAAGAAAUGUUAAUUGAUUUCAACGUAGACUAUAUAAAUCACCUAAACCUGUCGAGUGAUGUAGUGGUCAUAAAGAAAGUAUCAAUCAUGCACCCGAUUAACCAAUCUCGACGGCGAGUUUGCUUGUGCUUCUUCAUGAUUGCUAAACUUCCUGAAAUGUUGGUGUUUAUCUCCCUUGAAUUCCUUCCACAUGGAGAGCAUCUAAUGCUCAACAAAUCGAUUAAGUGUUGGAUCGGUUAGAUUGAACUCAAAAAAUUGCUACAAAAGAAAUAAGUUUCAGAUUAGUCUUCUACAUAUGUACGUAGUUUUAACAUAUAUAUAUGUUUACAAAUUUACAUAUUUAUCCCUAGGCCGCCUUUGAAAACCUCGAUGCACUCUCGUGGUACAUCUACCCACUUCAGAGCCUAGAUCAGAAACGUGUCUCACGUUAACAAACCAUCGUGCAACUGAAAUGAGGGACAUGUGGCAAGACAUGUUUGUUGCCUCGUAGGGGGAUUGAAAUGUGGGUUCUCCCAUUCUGCUAUACGUACCUCUUGACAUCAAUGUUUCAAGAAUGUUGUCGUCUCCUCGCAGUGGGAGUGGGAGACGGUUGAGAGGGAUCUACUAAAAAUAUAAAUUAUUAGAUACAAUAAUCCUAACUAAAGUGUUUGGGGUAAUUACUAACUUCAAAUGCUACCCACUAAAGACGAACCUCUCGCAUUAUCUGACGCGUCCAAGUUGAGGAAAUAGUCUACCUCAUGAGUGCCACUUGAAAAGUUAAACAUAAUUUCUGUAGACAUAAAAACCAACAAACGUUAACAAAUGUGAGUAUCACAAAGUAAAAGUAUAGAAAAAUGACUAAUGUGUAUACAUGAUGAAAACAUUGUUAUUCAUCGUCGCUUGACCUCCUUUGAUGUGAUGAUGAUUGUUCGUCAUCUUCAUCGUCUAUGAAGUUGUCCGUGACAUGACGCACAUUUUAAACACCUUUAAUCUCUCCUCUCAAAUACUUCAACUACUCAAAAUUACUCUAUGAAUAAGUUUUGUUCAAUCGCUCAUUAACUAAAGACUAUCUAACAUUUUAAACACCCUCAAUCUCAACUUCAAUGGUGUAUGAAGACCCUUUCCAAAUAUGUCAACCUUUUUAGUCCGGCUAUCUAACAUUUUCAAAAAUCCAAAUGCAAUUUGAAAGUGAAAUUCAUAUUCAUAUAUUCAAAUUCAAUUUUAAUUUCAAUUUAAAAUUUUCCUAAAAUAACAAUCUCGAAUUCAUUAAAUACCCUCCAAUCUCAAAUUCAAUGAACAACCCUACUACAAUCUCAACUUCAAUAAACACACUCUCUCCCAACCUCCAAUUCAAUAAACAACCAUCAUAAAUUCAAUAUAACCCCACAAAUCUCAACAAUCACAAAUUCAAUAAUAUUACAAAAUAUUGAACAUCAAUCUUAAACUCUAAAACCAAUUCAAAUUUAAUACUAAAAUUUAAAAUUGAUAUAAAAUUAUUAUUGUAUACAUUCAUUAUAUCAAUGCUUAUCAUAUUCAAAAUUCAAAUACAUGCAUUUUUCUGAAUUCAAUAAACAAAUACACAUACAUACAUUUUCCUAAAUUCAUACAUUUUUUUAAAUGCAAUAAACAAAGUUACAUACAUACAUGCAUUUUUCAUUAUAUUAUGGAUAACAUUCAUACAUACAUACAAAUGUAUGUAUUUUCAUUGUACAAUAUUUAAAAAAAUUAUAACAAACAUACUACAUUUAAUUUUCUAAUUUUUUAAAAAAGAAUAACAACCUUGGCGAUGAACAACAAGCAGCGGAACAGACGACAUGAACGGCAACGACGAACGACAAGCUCUCUCCUCUCUCCCGACGUCUUCGUAAGUGACCUUUCCACGAUUCUAUAAGUGACAUGUCGUAGAAAGUUAACAAUUGAAAUGUAUUUAUAUGCUUUCCCUCGAUGUGGUCAACGUAACGCCGAUUAAAAGAGGAUUAAUGUUGAUGUGUUUGGUAGGCACGUCGGGGAAUAUCUCCUAAGCCGACCAAACAAUGUUGCGUCGGCAUUGGUUGGUCAACGUCGACGCUUGUUUUUCCAACGCCUUUUCCUACGUCGGAAUUACUCCGAUUUCUUGUAGUGUUUUAUCCUUGUGUCUAUUUUCUUAUACGAUCGUCUAGUUUGUCUUACACGAUCUUGUACGUUCUUAUACGAUUGUUUAACAAAAUCAUAUUUUAUUCAUGAAUGGGUCUCACAACUUUCCCCUCCUUUAGAAAUUUCGUCCUCGAAAUUUAAACAAUAGUUCUUACACAAAUUUUUUAUAAACAAAAAAAUUAUUACUUAAAAUUUAUUGAUUACAAGCUUCACAUUUUCAUGAUAAAACAAAAAUAAAUUUAAUAAAUAAUAGAAACUUAGCUAUCCCAAAACAUCUUCCUUUUCUUUGUCUAAAGCAUAACCUCCCCUUAAGGGUGGGAUACAACCCUUAUUUGCAUUGGUCCUCAUGAGGGUGUAUGAAGAUAUUUGAGGAGUUCUGUCGUCCUAUGUUUUUUAUCACCACUCGAACGUGAUAUCUGACCAAUGUUCUUUUCCUAAUUGAGAUGAUUGUAACACGCAUUCUAAUUUCAGUUCUCAAUCCAUUCUCGAAUCGCCUACAUCUUUCUCUUUCGUUACCUACUAUUUUCAUCUCCUACCGAGACAAUUUUAUAAACUUCUUUUCGUAAUCUGCUAUCGAAAUUUCUCCUUAUUCCAAGUGGAGAAACCCAUCUCGUCUUUCAUCUCAAGGUUUCAGAGAAAAACUUACUAUUAAAUAUUUUCUUAAACUCUUCCCAACUAACCAUUCCUUGCUUAUUUUCUUCAAACAUCCACAAAUCUUUUGCCCUUAGCUUUUCUAAAGUAGAAACACUACUAAAUCAAUUUUCUUUUCUUUUGUACGCCGCAUUACUCAAAAAAACUUAUCCAAUGUUCGAAUCCAUUUCUCCGACUCCUUAGGAUUCUUUGUCCAAUUGGAUUUUGUAUCCCCCAAUGCCUUAAGUCUUUCUUCACCAAACUUUUUCUCUGAUUGUUGCGCCAAGACAUCUUGUAUUAUUUGCGCAACCUUAACAUACAGGGCUUCUUUGUUCUCUCUCAUUUCAUUUGGUUUAUUAAAUGAGCCUUUCAAUCCAUUAAAGGAUCAGUUGUUAACCUUGAUCUACUUCCUGCUCCCCUUUCUCUUCUUGAUGGCUUACUUUCUAUUCCUUCCUACAAAAGAACUUAAAUACUCAGCUCCCAAAGAAUGUAUCACUCUGAUACCAGCUUGUCAUACCCUGUUCCAAACUACUUAAUACAAAUUAAAUAAAAGAAAAUUUGCAUCAAAUGGCCAAAACAUUUAGAAAAAGAAAGCUCAUGACAUUAUUUUUUUUAUAUUGUGGAUUUGGCAAAGUUAGUGAUAUUAGACAGCUAUCAGACGGUAAUCAUAAGUUAUUGAAGGGCUAUCAGACGGUAAUCGUACGACUAUCAGAUGGUCAUCACUUUUAAAUUUGUUACUUUUGCAAAUUUGUAAAAUGUUUUGACAUAGGCUCUAUUAUCAUAAAUUUUUUUCCUAUUUUUGCAAAAGCUCCUAAAUAGAACUUAACUAAAAACCAUGUAAUGGAAAUUAAAUCAGUAAACUUCUCUUGUUAAUUUCAACCCAAUAGUUUCUACAAUAGAAUAUGACAUGACACAACUUUUCUCAACAAGAAUUAAACAAAAAAAAAUGUCAAAAGUCUUUAAAGUCCUUAACCUUCAACCUUUAAGGAUUGUUUAGGUUCCUAUUUUGAUCGUGUAGCUCCUUAAUCGAUUGCUUACCCUUUCAAACCUAAUUGCUUAGCUACUUGAACGAUUACUUACCUUCAAUCAGUUACCUGUCUACCUGAUUGUUUACCUUUCUAAACGAUCGCUUAACUCAUACAACAUGGAGAGGAAAAACUUAAAACAUAAGUCAAAAGACUUAGUGAAUGAUGCUUUUGAAAACCUUUUGAGAAUACAGUUUAUAAAUCAUUUUCGUUUAACACAUGCUCACUUACUAAAUUCAAUAGCACAUUUCAAAUGAUAAAUAUACAUUAGUUUCACUUAUUCCUUUCUCCAAGACAUGAACCAUUCUUGUGCAUGAACUACUGUGAUGGCAUUUUCAUCAACAACAUCCUUGAGGAUAUCUCAAUUCAUUCCUUGUUACUCGGGCUUUCUAGCGUGAUACACAUCUUUUAUGCAUUGUCUUGCCUUAGUCCACUAUGGAGACAUUCUCUACAUGGCUGACUUUACUUAUUAGGUGCACAUAACAACUAGCUCAUUUAUAAGACAAGGACUAAUGGUUUGAACAUAAUUUCACAUUCAUUUGAAACACAUAAAACAUAAUACAAUUUUUCAUUUGAAAUCUCUUUGCAAACAAUCAUGUGUGAAAUCUCAAUACAAAUCAGUAUAAGAUUACAAGAAAAACUUUUAAAAUCUAAAAACAUUUUGGAAAAUCACUCACAGUACUAAGUUCUCCUUCUUUGUUUAGAACUCUUCUCUGGUCUUCUUCUUACUUAUCAACCUCUAGUUUUUCUCUUUGUAAAAGCUCAUAAUCAUCCCCUUACCUUUUGUCUUUUUUCCUUAUUUAUAUUAAUUAUAAGUUGGAUUAAUCAUUAAUUCUUUACUCCUAUAAUUUCGCCAGCUCCUACUUAACUAAAAUCUAAGUCUUCGAAUGCCAUGACACCUAUAAAAACCACCCCAAUGAUUUACUAAUUAACCCCAAGAACCUUUCUAAUUUUUUAACGAUUGUUAGCAUUCUACACGACUGUUUAACCUUUACAUGAUCGUCUAUCUUCUUAUACGAUCGUUCAGUGUCUUAUACAAUCGUUUUAUAUUUAUUUUACACGAUCUUUUAUCCUCGUUUCUAUUUUCUUAUAUACUAUUAUCUUAGCUUGUCUUACACGAUCGUCUAGUUUGUCUUACACAAUUGUUUACAUUCUUAUAUGAUUGUUUAACCAAAUCACCUUUUAUUCAAGAACGAGUCUCAUAGGACGUAGGUAAAUUCGUGAGAAUUGAGCCUAACUCCCGAAGAGCUAUGUACACCACUGGGAGUUCUAAUCUCCCCACCUCAUAUCUUGCUUUUCGGAAGUUAGAUGAAUUCUCGAUGGCCUUACCUAUGGCGUCGAGAAUUCCUCUCAUGACUUGGUUUUCUGACCACUUUUCCGACGACUAAAAUGACGUCAAAAUUUCUUUUCCCAACUCAUUUUGGUGUAAUUUUCGACAACUUUGGCCGUUGAGAAAGAGUUGGUUUUUUGUAGUGCUAGUUAUGACUGUGCGUGAGUUGUGACAAUUUGUAAUGGAUAAUCCUUUUUGGUAAGAGUGGCAGACUUUUUUCUGACAGAGGAAAAUCAACAAACUCUCUUGCAAAGAAAGAAUUCUUUGUUUUAUUUCAGACUUAAUUAACUUGAUUUGAGAUUUUACAGAUGGAUUAUUGCCAAUAAUAGGUACCCACCUAAUUAUUGUCCACAUAGACUUGAUCAAGAAAAUUCAAUAGCUCCAAAUUGACAUUGAACAAUUUGGAGAAUCUAAUGGUCACAAAUUGAUGUUGGAAUAAAGUGAAAUAUCUAAUUGCUACAAAUUGAUCUUGGAUAGAGUGGUUUACAUGAGAAUGUAAAUUACACUCACACAAAGGUUAGGGUUGCAAAGUGAUCAUUUAUUUUAUUUUAUUUUUUUUUAAAAAAAGCAAAGUGGAAAAAAGAAGUGUAUAGCAUCUUUGGUUACUGACUUGAUAGCUUUAAAAAAUGUACAUGCUCUUUUUAUAAAAAAGAAAAAAGAAAAUGUGAUUUUUCAUUUUUGGUAUCAUAGUUUGACCAAUUAGAGAGAUAGGUAGAGGAAAAACAUUACACCUUUAUUAAUUUCUCUUACACCCCUGCUUUUAAAUGUUGAGAUAUUACAAAAUCUUUGUUGGUUAAUGAGCCUGAGGGACAUUUUUGACGUUAUAGAAUAAUUUGCAAGUUAACACUCGUGCUAAACAGAAGAUUAGAUAACUGGCCCAACUUUAUUUAAUUAUGAAUUAUUUAGAUUGGAUUUGUUUUUCUUUUAAAAAAGAAAUCAUAUAUAUAUUUUUUUAUAAAAAAAUAUUGGUGUCAUUAGGAGUAUUACAAUACUCAUUACUCUUACCUACUUCCAUAAAUAAAAUAAAAAUAAUUAUUUAAUAUUUCAUUUUCUGAUGACAGUGUAAGGAGUAAGCAAUGAUGAAGUCAAUAUAUUUUAAAUAUAUAAAAGAAAAUGAAUGUGGUAGGGUGCGUAGUUAAGCUAAUUUAAACCUAGUUGAAUGAUUAGGAAAGAAAAGCUCAAGUCCAUUCAAAUUUGAACUGAACCCUAAUCUUAAAUGACAUUAAAUGUUAAAAAAGAAAAAAAGAAAGGGAAAAUUAUUAGGAGAAGGUUUAGUAUGGGAGUUAGAAUGAAGAAAAGAAAAUGGGGAUUUAAUUAAGAUGUGUAGUGUUUAAAAAAGUAGAGAAUGAUAAAAUUAAAAUGAGAAGAAAAAAAAGAGAAUAAUUGAAUUGAGGCAGAUAAUAUAUGAUAUGGAAAGGUGUAAUGUGGUGAAAAGUUGAAUGAUUAGGAAAUAAUAAUGAAUUAAUUAAAUGUAAGAAAGGGGGAAAGGGGGAAAGGAGGAGAGGGGUAUUGGGGUAGAGAAGAGGGCAGAGGAUGGUGUCCUGAAUGAUGGGCCUUUCAAUUUUUUUGAGACUUAAGACGGGUCUCUCUCACCCAAAAUUGACCCACCCAGGGUAAUAUAAUAUUAUAAAGAAAAUCAAAAUUAAGAAAAAGUGAGUAAUAUCGGUGAGGACACGUGGGAGAUAAUAGAGGAGGUGGACGCAGAGCUUAAAAGUGGUCCCCAGGAAAUAUGUUUCAGUGUUGGUGGGGCCAUCCGAUUUCCCCACUUAAGUCAGCACGCAGAACGGGAUCACGUGAAAUUAGGGACUGGUAGGCCACGUACUCGGCUCUACCGGGUCCGAUUUUCUUUCGGCUUCACCCGCUUUUUCUCGGCUUAAUUUCCUUAACUUACGCAACCCUGUUUCCCAACCCCAUUUCAAUCCACACAUAUAAUAUAUAUAUAUAUUCUUAUAUCCCUCUUCUUCUAAUUCUUACCACCUUAAUUCCUUUACUUUUAUCAUUAAAUUGAGAGGAGAGGGGGAGGGGUUAGUGGUUAGUGAAGUGAAAAAAAAAAAAAGAGAAAGAAAGGAGUGUUGUCACAUGCAAUUGAUCAAACACUUUGCAAGGGCCCGAAAUGUAAUGCAGAACAGAAGAGCACAAGUUGAGUCAGUGAGUGGGAAGAGGCCCAUGGACAGGGAAGCUGAGGUGAUGGCACAGUUUUGCACAGCCUAGCUGUGAACGUGGCUUAGACUUACACAACACAACGCUCUCUCUCUCUCUCUCUCUCAUGCCACCCUUCUUCCACAAUUUACUCCUUCUACCUCCACUUUUUCACCGCUACUUCUAUAGUAUUUAAAUUUAAAUACUUUCUAAUUAAGCACUCCCAUCUACUCUUGCGUUCCUACUCUUUCUGAGCUUUACUUUUACCUCCCUUUUCUUGAUCUAGUCUUUUCUUUCUUUUUUCUUUUAUCGAAAAUUUUAUGAUUGAUGUAUAUUUACAAUAUUGGCUACAUAAAUCAAAUUGCAACACUUGGGAUGCACACUCUUCUAUACCUUCUUUCAAUUAUCCUUAAACUCACGUCCAUGGGUGAAUUUUGACAUUUACGGAGAACAACUUUAAACAAUGACAAAGAGAAAUAAUGUAUGUUUUCUAAAUUCUCAUAUAAUGAUUAAACAACCAUGUUGCACACAAUAUCUUUUUGUCCACAAUCACUUUUUUUUAUCAUUAGGCUUCAUGGAAACAAGUUCAUUAAUUUUGGUGGGUAACUAGAUUUAGCCUUUUAUUAUAAAAGUUUAAAGCUAACAAUUUCCUCAUUCUUGCAUGGCUUUACUUUAAAAAUUAUUUUGAUUCAGUACAUGUAAAGAAUGUUGUUAACUUUCAUUAAACUUUGAACUAAUCAUAAAUGAACUUUUAUUUUUUAUGAACUAAAAGAUUGAGACAUAAUGCAAUUAAAAUGGUGUAUCACGAUUUUUACUAUGGACAACAUUGUUACAAAAUUAAACGUGCACAUAGUUACUUAGUUGUUUUACUUAUUUCAAAAUACAAAAUAAAUCAUUAUAAAAACAAGUUCAAAAGACUAGUUUGUUAGUUUUACCAUUCUCCUACAUAUAUCUAAAGAGGACACUUAACAUAAAAUUACGCUUCAUUUUUUAGUUUUAUUAAGUCAAUAAAAAGGAUGACUAUAGACAUUGUUAGUGUAAGUGUACAUAGUGAUUGUAAUUAACUUUUUAAGCCAUCUCAAACUAUAUUUUCACAUUAUGAACAUCCUUUCUGAAUGUCUAAGGUUAUUCAUUGAGCCUUCUGGAUCGUCACAUUCAAUAAUGUUUUGGCUAGCUAGAACCCCAUGCAGCUACUAACCGUAAACAACCAUUUUAUUAUUAUUUUAAAAAAAAUAAAUUGCUUUAUGAUUGAGCCAGCCCCUCAUAAUUACGCAGGAAGGGGUCCCGUUUUGGCGUCGUUGCUGAGUCCGUUUUUCCUUUACUGUCGGGCAAUCCCACAUGCUAACCCUAUUCCAAUCAACCCUUCCUGGCUCUCCUUUCCCCAACACAACCCCACUCCCACUACUCUUUUCCUUUUCUUUUACAUUUUGCUUUUUAGUCCUCCCCCAAUUCUUCUUUUCCCUCUUCCCCCCAUCUCCCUCUCCUUUUUCUUUAUAAUUCCAAUUCUCUCAUGAUGAUUCAAGAGUAUAUUCCCCUUUUCUUUCUUUUAUUUAUUUAUUGAAAAUAACUUAUUAAUAUGUACUAAGGUAAAGCUAUGGGGAAAUUAAAAAACAAAAAAAAAAAUUGUAAUUGAAAUUAAAAACAAGGAUAAUAAAUGAAGUGGGUGAAAUGUAGGUAAGUUUAGAAACAAUGAAACGUACGGAACAACAUCCAACUUGUCCCUAUUAAAGGAACAUAUAAAUAAGACAGUAAUUAAGGUAGGCCUCACUGCUUCUAACCUCUAACACUAACCCAAUCCCCCUUUACAUAUAUACACUUUCAUAAAUAAUUAUUUCUUUUUUUUAAAAAAAAUUAAUAAAUGAACAGUGAUCACUUGAGAUCGAUAUUAAUUAUUCAUCAUUCAAUAUUUUUAUGAAUCUAGAUCUACAAGGACAAACGAAAUUAUAUCUAAAUUGCAACCCACGUGUAAAUUAUUGAUUCAAAGAAUGCUAAAACAUUUUUAUUGUACAAACCUAGCUAGGCUUGGAUUUAAGGAUUAAGAAAAGAAAAAAAAAAGAUAUAUAUAAAUGAAUUUGGGGAAAUGGAAGGUGAGGAAAUAGAUAGGGUUAAACAAAAUUAGUAAUUGGGAUUAAUAUUUUAAAUCUUUUGAUUGGUAAAGCUAAACCACCCUUAAGAAGAGAAGAUUAGAUCGAAGGUCGAUAUCAUUGACUCUUUAUAUUAAAAUUUAAUGCAAUGUGAUGGAUGGAGCUAGUUCCUUUUUUUUUUUUUUUGGGAGGGUUGGAUGAAAGUAAAUAAGAAAAAAAUAUAAUGAAAAAAUAAAAAAAGAAUUAUACAUGGUACUUAUUUGUAAUAGUAAUAAUAUCAUUAUUAUUGUAAUUUUAUACUAUUACUCCAAAGGGAUGAUGAUUUGCAUUUGAAUCCGGUGGUGGCGCGGCUUGCCAAGCGGAAGCCGCGAUAAGAGGUCGGCUAUGCCAGCCGAGGGUCAAACACCCUUCGUUCUCCUCGAUGGAGAAUCCUUCGGCGGAGAAGAGCGUUAGAAGCAUGCUAGCUUGCUUGAAAGCGUUGGAUCCUAAAUGGAGGGCUCUAAAACCGGCUUGGCGUAGUCGAGAUCUCCAUUUAACCAGUGGCUCAUGGCGCUCCACUCGAGCCGAUCCUUCGCAGCUCACCACGUUGCAAAUUUCCCUCUGUAGAUACAUCUCCGCCAGACCCUUCUCCGGCAUCAUACAGCAGGCUUCAAGCGAAUCAAACAUGGUGGAAUAGUAAAACAAAGCCUCCGUGAACCGCUCCAAGAACCCGGUCUGGUUGUGGUCCGCUUCUUGUUCGACCACCGUCAUGAUUUUCGGAUUCAAACUCCGGAUCCACCCGAGAACCAUUUCCAUGGCGGACGACGACUGGUUGUUCCCUAGUAAUCGGUGAAGCUGCAUAACCGAGUUCACGGCCACAGUCUCCUUCGGACUCACCUGAAGCAUCCACGGCUUAACAUCUUCCAACCUAGCCGCAGCCACACCGCGAAAGGCGAAACGAACGUUAACCGAACGGGCCAACUCAGCGAGUCGCAAUCCGAUUUCUCGAAGCGAGUCACGGCCGUCGGGAGAGGGUGGGCCAAUGCCGGUUAAACGAAGAAGAGGAGGACCGCCGGGACGGAGGGCGAGGGCUUGGAUUAAUGCGGGCCAUUGUAGACCGUGCAUUAGAUUGAAAUCGAUGACGUGGACGCAAUCGUGACCGUCGAAGGCUUCCAAAAUGGCUUGAUUAGCGGUGAAAUGAGCGAAUUUAAGGUAAGGGCAAGCUUCGUAAUAAUGGUGAUAGAGAAGGACGUCUUCGAAGCCGGUGGUGGAAGUGAUGGUAUCAUGGGGUGUGAACACGCGCCGAGUUAGCGCGUCAAUAAAGUAACCAGCGACUUUACCGAUGCCGCAUUCGGUGUUGAUGCCAGACAGCAAACUUUGCAUUUCGACAAUCAGAGAACCAGCCAAUGGGAAAUCACCACGGUGGAUUGAAUCGGCACACGUGACUAGCAUGUGGACGAGUUUAAUACCGGAAUCUUCCUCCAUGGCGGUCACGACGGUUAGCUGAUGCUGGCCAAGGUUCUGGUGCUGCGCAGCAACACAAGGAUCUGUCCACGAGACACUCCCAUCCGUCUGAUUAGAAACCGAAAAGAGAUCGGGAAAAUCCGGUAGAUCGGACGGCAAAGUAGCCGUUUGGUCCAACUCCGAGAGGAUUGAAUCAACCCAAGAACCGAUGUCGGAAGGGUUGUAGUGGACGGCAUCGGAAGCGAGUUGAGAGAUCUCAGAGGAAGAGUUGACCAUAGCGGAUUCGAGACGCUCAAGACGUUGAGCGACGUUGUGGAGGUCGGAGGAGCGGACCCUGUAGCCCGCGCCGGCGAGAAGGCCGUCGAUGUCUUGGGGUUUGGUGACGGUACUUGAGGAAGAGCUGCCACUGCUACUGCUACUGCUGCCGCCGGAAGAGGCGGCGGAGUCGAAAGGACCCAUAUGAACGAAAUCAGAUAAUUUAGAGAGGUAGAAAUGAAAGGAAGAUGGUUGCUGGGAGAAGGAGGAAUAUAAUUAGGGAGAUUUUAAGUUGACCAUGGCCAUAGAGAAACCACGGAGUUGUGUGUGUGUGUGUGUGUGUGUGUGUGUGUGAGAGUGAGGGAGGUACUGAAAAGCAAUGGGUGAAAGAGAAAGGACCAAAAAAGGAUUUUGAGAGAGAGAGAGAGAGAGGGUUGUGUAUUUGAGAAUUUAAGAACCAAUAUGGGAAAAUCUGGAAAUAACCAAUUAACCCACCGAUCAAACUUGGGUUUAUUUUUUCUAAUUUAUUUGAAGAGUUAAAUUUUAUUCUAAUUUCUAUUGCGAGUUGAGAUUGGGAGCCUACCCCCUACCCCCUACCCCCUACCACAUUUUAAUAAUAUUAAUUUUUUUUAUUUUAAAAAAUAUUCACUAAUAUCCAUGUAAAAUUAGUUUUGGAAUACCGGAAUAUCCAUUGAGAAAGUACCUCUUUUUUUAUAUAUAUAUAUAAUAAUAAUAAUAAUAAUAAAUAGCAGUUGUUAAAAUGGUAGAAAAUAGAAGAUGAAAAAGAAAAGAAAAAAAGAAAGAAAAGGAAAACAGAAUCUCUAUGCAAGCUGCAGUUAGACACACACGUGGAGGAAAUAAAACGUUAUACCGAAUGACGUUGUUCUGCAUAGUGCCUCCACGCCAACCAUGGCUUUCCUUUCACAUAUUAUUUCUAUAAUAUCAAAAUUAAAUAGUUAUCAACUAUUUUAAUAUUAAUAUAAUAUUUUACUUCCAUUAUUACAACCACCCUUCAAAUAUGCUCUCAUCUUCAACACUUUUAGCUGAAUUCAUUCUUGGGUUUGGCUAGACGUACAUCUGGAAUGUUUUUUUAUACAAAUAAAAAUCAAUUUUCUUUGUUUACAAAUGUUUCCCUCUAAUGUUCUUUCAAUUUGUGUGUAUCCACUCAAACUAUAUAUAUCUGUUUUUGUUGUAUUAUUACAUGGAUGGAAGAGUAGAGGUGCCAAUUAUUUAACACCUUAAUGUAAUUUAUUUUGCAAAAAAAAAAUGACUCUCUAUAAUGUAGCUCUAUCUGUUAUAAAGAAAUAAAAAUCCAGGGUGGAAUAAUUGAGAGGAAGACAUUUGUCAAGAAGAAGCAUUAUUAAUACGUACUUAUCAUAUGAUUAAUUAAAAUUGAAUAGAGUGGUCGCAAUCCACGUUAUUUAGAGCAACACAUAAGAGUGAGUACAUUAAUUGAUUAACUACCAUUAUUAAGACAAAGAUAGCGACACCCAUCCUCACUCCAUUUAUUUAAAUAAUCUUUAUAUUAUUAAUUCUUCAUAUUCUAUUACCAUAAUUAUUCUUUGCAAAAAUUAAACAAAUACUCCCCCACGUUCACCCCUCGCCUUAAUUAGUUGUAUUAAAAAUAUAUUUCACUUUUUUUUUCCUUUUCUUUUUUUACUAUUUUCAAAUGAUUUUCACAAUUGGAAUAUAAAAAUAAAAAAAUUGUUUCGUUGUUGAAACCAAACUUGAUGGAGUGAAGUCAAAGGGGAGUAGACAGGGGUCUAACUGACAAUACCGAUGCUAAUGAGGAUCAUAAUAUAAAAUUGUCAUAAGCUUAAAAAAUAAUGUCAAUUAUUGAGAGAGAGAGAGAGAAGAGAUUUAUUGUGGUUAUAAUAAUUGGUAGCCAUUAAGGGUGAAAUUUGAAAGGGUCAAUCACGCCAAUUUGAUUCAAUGGAAAAUAAUUAAUUUGAUUCCAUCUAAAAUAAUUAGACCUUUUUGCUUGUUUGGCAAAAUAAGUUUACAAAAUUAUAUACAAUAUUACAACCUUAUUUACUUUUGUAAAAAUGUAAAAAAAAAAAAAAACCAACAUCCACCAUCAAGAGAAAAUAUAUAUUUAUUGUAAAAAUAUAAACCACAAACUUAUAGUAUUGCGACCCAAACAAAAUUAAGUUACACCUCAAAUACAAACUACAUAACCUAAACAAAAAUAAUUUAUACUUCAAACACAAAUUAUUUAACACAACUAUAAUAAUUUUAGACUAUGAUAACUUACUCUUUGUAGCUAACACCUCUAAAAAAAAGUGUUUCAUGUUUUUUUUGCCCAAAAGUUGAUAAAGAUCAACUUAUUUACAAAAAUGUCACAUUAAUUAUUUUAUUCAUCCAAAUGUCAUUAGACAUAUUUAUUUAAUUGCUAUUAGAUUAAAUACUUUUUAUAUUUUGUUAUCUUCAACAUUUAUGUAUAUGUAUUAGGUGGAUUAGAAGUAUCAAUAUCAAGUGUAUUAAGUGUAUAUACAGUGUAUCAAGUGUAUCACUUGGGUUGAACUUGUUUUCUUGUCAUUUUUGCAAAAUAAAAAAGGUGCGUGAAAAACUUGCAAAUCCUUAAACUCAAAUUGCCACCAAAGACAAAUUCUCGGAUAAUUAUGAAAUCAUAAAAAAAUGGUUAAAAAGCUAGGUUUUAAAAUCUGGUAUGAAAACAAAUUUUUUAAAACAUACUUUAAUUUAUGAAUUUGUUUUGCGUUAAUUUUAUAGUAUAUAAUUUUAAUUUAUGAACUUGUUUUAUGUUAAAUAUAGAGUGUAUAAUAUAGGGACCCUUUUUUCAUUACCAUUGAUUUUCCAGAAAGUAUUAAAUAGUUUAUAUCUUUGGCACUUUUGACAAUUUCACUAUUAUAUAUUAUAUAAUAAAUAUUUUAAUUUAACAAAACAAUCGAGAUUAUAAAAAUCAGCUAAUAUUUUCAUUAUUGUUUUUUAAUCUUUCCCAAUAUAAUCAUGCAUUCUCAGAAUUCAAAUUCAACCUACACUAAAAUACAGAAAAAUGUGUUAUCUUUUAUUAUUUAAAUCAGAGAAUUAGAAAAUAGUUUGAGAAUAGUAUUAACAGUAAAUUCAUAUGGGUGGAAGUUAUAAGUAAGUCGGAAAAAGAUAGAUCAAAUCUAAAAUAUGUAUUAAAGAAGUUAGUUUUUAGAUGAGCAUAGUGAGAAACAAGGUAAAUGGGUCAAGAUUUUUUGGAAAGAUUAAUAAUAUAGGUAGUAGAGAUGGAGUUCUAUAUAUUAAGCGUUGUCCUAGCUAAAAACAAUUAUUCGAUCUAUAGAAGGCGUAAGCAUAUUACAACAAAGUUUGGCAGUUGAAAUAUUAAGAUUUUGGUGAGUAGUUUAGGAUAGUUGCUAACAACUUAAAUUUAAGAUGAAAAGUGAGAAAAAAGAAUGAAAAAGUGUUGGAAAUGAAAUGAGAUAGUGGGAAUGAGAGAAAUUAAAAAAAGAAAUUGGCGUGAGGUAAAUAGAAGAUGAAAACACAUUUAAAAAUGACUUAUAUAGUAGAUGAAAGUUAAUAUAAUAGAUGAGUGAUUAUAGAAAGAAAAAUGGGGGGAAGGGGUUGGUAUAGUUUGAAAAUGGAUGGGGGUGGGUGUUGGUGAAGUGGAGUGGUCCAAAGAUUAGAGAUAUGAUUGCAUGGGAAUUAGGAACAGUUACAUCCCAUGCAAAUUGAAAUUUGCAUAGUCCCCAACAAUAUCACCACCAAACUCUUUUUUUUUUUUUUUCUUUCAAUUAUUAUUCUUUUCUUUUUUUUUUCUUAUGAGCUGGCUGUCACUUUAAAACGUUGAUGGAUUAAAGUGCCUACGUGUACACUCAUUGAGCUUUUUCAUUCCAUAAUUCAAUUUGGUCAAAACCACACACAUCUAUAUACAAAUACUACUUUACUUUUACUUAUCCUCCUCCUUUCAACUCACGUGAUUUAAAAGUUUUAACAACAUAAAUAGUAAAAAUAUGAGACCAUGAUCAAAUCAUUUUAAAAGUAUUAUACAUACUUUUCUUUUAUUAUUUUCUAAUCAAUAUUAUAAAAUGUCUUAAUGCAAUUGUGAACAUAUAUCUUUGCAAUUAUAAAUGAUUCACUAAAUAUUGUACCUACACUUUUAAAAUGUAACUAAAUAAAAGACCAAACAAAAUAAGAUAUAUACUUUCCUUUACAACUUUAGUUUAAAUGUUUUAAGAAAAACUCAAAUAGGACAUUAGGCAUAUUUUUUUAAAAAAAGAUAAAAGCAUGAUGAUUAAGAAGAAAAAAGAGUGUAAAUCAUUCAUACAAAAAUCAAAUGUAAUCAAAUGUAAACGGUUUGUCAAUUUUGAAAAAAUCAUUGAUUUAUAUAUUUGCUACAGAAUUUGUAUGAUUUUAAAUUUCACUUUAGUAAGAACUUUGGAGGCUCCAUGGAGAAAGGGAGUAAUUAGUAAGGAUACCAAAAAAAAAAAAAAAGAUAAAAAGAUAAAAGGAUAAAAUAGAAAUUGGUGGACAAUCUAAUAACAAAGAAGUAAUGUAAAAAUAUAAAGAUAGAAAAAAAAAAAAAAAGACAAAAGAAAUACACGUACAAACCAAAAGAAAAUGUCACACAAAAUUUAAUUGUAAUAAGCUCAGAUUAAGAGUCUAGAGGGAUAAGUUGCUUACACUCACUACUACAACUUUGGCAUAAGAAAAUGUUUACGUUCAUGGUCUUUGUCCAUAAGUUAAGUAGGCAAACAUGAUCUUGAUUUUCUCUUCAAUGAUUCUUGUAUUAAGAAGUGUAACGUUGAAAUCCAAAUUUAUAAAAAACUUCUACAAAUUUGAACCUAAGACCUCUUGUUCAUAGAUACAUACAGAUGGAAGUUGAGUUAAGCUCAUAUUGACUAGUUUGUACAAUUUCUACAAAUUUUAAAAAUCUUAAAUUACAAACUUUCAAUUCAACCCAUUAAAGUUGAACAUAAUAACUAAUUUAAUUUUGAAAAAGUUACUUAUUUCAAUCUAAUUAUAAUUACAACAGUUAACUUUAAUUAGAAAAGUAAUAUUGUAUUAUUGAUGAAUAGAAAGUAAUAAGUGGGAAAAAAGAGAGUAAAGAUUUAAAAAUAUUAUUGAUGAAUAUCGUGUUUUCUGAGUCCGUUAACGAGGGUCCGAAUUUCAUGUUUUGUGAAAAAUAAUUUUUUGGAAAAUUGCAUCAAAUGACAAAAACAUUUAGAAAAAACAGCUCAUGACACCUAACACCUAUUUUUUUUUGCAUAUUGCGAAUAUGACAAAAUUAGUGAUAUUAGACAACUAUCAAAUGGUAAUUAUACGACUAUCAGAGAGCUAUUAGACGGUGAUCAUAGGAUUAUCAGUUUUUAAAUUUGCUACUUUUGCAAUUUAGAAAAUGUAGUGCCCUAUUAUCAUUUUUUUUUUGUUGCUAAUUUUGCAAGAGCCCCUAGUUUUUUUUUUUUUUAUGGGCCUUACCCGCGAUCUUAUCCUAAACCCAAAAUUAUAAUUUUUUUUUCUUGAUGAGCAAUGCUUAUCAAGACAUCAUUUUUCUUGAUGGACCUUGUUCAUGAUUUUUUUUUGGUAUGUCCAUCAACAAACCAUACACCCAUCAAGAAACCAUAAACUCAUCAAGAAAAUUCUAAACCCAUUAAGAAGUUAAAAUAAAUAUAUUAAUUUUUUUCCGAUGAUGACUAUUACAAAUCAAGAAAAUUAAUCCCUUUAUGGACCUUGUUUAUCAUGAAAACCUAACUAACUUGAUGGACAUUCCCAAUCAAUUAAUAUAUUAUUCUUGAUGUUUAUUGUCCAUCGAAAAAUAAUUUUCUUGACGUUUGUUGACCAUCAACAAAACUAAAGGGACUUUUCUUAACGUACAUGACUGGCAAGAUAAACAUUUUAUCAAGAAAAAUAUUUUUCUUGAUGGUCAAGAAAUCAAAAUUUGCAUGCGUCAAGAAAAACCAAAUUUGUAGUAGUGUCCCAUGAGGAGUCUAGGAGAGCUUUAGCGAGCACAUGCAUGAGAAGCCUAGGAGGGCUUUAAAGGAUCGAAGUCUAUAGAAGUCUGAGCAAGAUGAGCCUAGCUAAGAAGGCUUGACUUGAGCCUAAAGAAGUUAUGAGCUUAGAGAAUUUUGAGUAUGACCAAUCUAAAAGCCUUUAUCUGAGCCUAAAGAAAUCUACGCCUAAGAGGGCUUGAACCCAGGAAAGUCUAGGCUGGUUUACGGGAGAGCUUGAGCCUAGAGAAGUUUGGGCAUGAAGAGCCUAAGAAAGUAUGAGGCUAAAGAAGCCUAUGCAUGAAUACUAGGAGCUUGAGCCUAGAAAAGCCUAGACAUGAGAAACAUAGAAGAGUUUGAGUUGAGAGAAGCCUAAGCAUAAGGAGUUUGAGUUUAGAAAAACCUAGGCAUGAUGAGCUCCGGGUUAGAAGAGAGACUCAAGAGGAACCUAUAAGAAGAGUUCAGAGGACCUAUAAGGAGCUUAAAGUGAGCUUAAAAUUAAUAUUCAUGAGAAGCUUAGAGUAAAGUUAAAGAACAUAUGGAAAAAUGAGCUUAGAAGACCUAUGAGGUGGGCUAAGACAUGUAGAAAGUGAAGAUCGUCAUUAGACAAAAUUAAGUCAAUAAAAAGAAAUUUCCUUCGACGGUGUCACCUUCCUUAUUCCUCUAAAAUCUCAACUACUCGAAAGAAAAAAAGAAAUAGUUAUUAAAUGAAUGGGUUAAUAUAUAUAAAAAAUGAUUGUUUAGGUAAGAAAUGUUCAUAAACUUUUAAAAGUUUAAAAAACGUCCUUAAAACUUAAAAGGUAUGGUUAAAAAAUAUCCUUAUUUAAGGAAAAUUAAUUUCAAAGUGUUAGAUUACAAUAUAUACACACUAAAUAAUCCUUUAUUUCAUUAAUCUCUUGAUUACGUUAUUCGUUUUAAAGUCAAUAUAUCUUGCCAAAAUGUAAAAUUUAAUUUCUGUAUUUAUUUAUAUUUUUUUUUCCAAAUUCAAGAGUAUCUAUGAAAUAUUUUUUAAUAUUUCAAAUUUUUUCUUAAAAAUUAAAACUUUAACAAUUCUCACUAAAAUAACCGAUAACGAAUAUGUUUGAAAUUUUAAGGUUUUUUUUUUCACAAAUUAAAAAAUAUAGGGACAAAUGUUUAAAAUUUUAAUAAAAAGAAAAAGGGUUGAAUAAAGAAAUAAAAGUAAGUGGAUAAAUUUUUUUUGGGAAAGCAAAAUUUUGAAAAUUUGAAAAGAAGUGUUAUUUUCAAAACCUUUUUGGAGACCAUUUUUAUGCUCCAAAAGAGGUCCCAAUGGGAAACCGCUAAUUUCUGACAUUCAAAGAGACCACAAGUUAUAAUUUCAAGAUAAAACGAAAAUAUAAAUCCACCUUCUAAAAUUAACCUAAAAAAAAACCCUUCUUUGAUCCAUUUUCUUUUUCAAAACAUAUCCUAAUUUUGGAUAGGUCUUUUACUAUUUAACUUUUUCCAAAUUGUUUAUCCCAACCUUAUAAUCUUUAGUGAUUUAUUGAUUUCCACCCCUGGAUGAUUAUAAAAUUACAGUAUAUAUUUUUUAACAACCUCCUAAGUUUUCUUAGAAAUUAAAUAGCAAUUCAGUCGAUGAAUUAAUUUAUUACCAUCACUUUAUCAAUAGUGUAGUAGUUUUUAGUCACUUUAUUGUAUUUUUCUUAUAGAGGAUUUAGUUUCUAUUAUAGAAAAUAUUUUUUAGUACAUUGAUAAAGCUAAUUCACAACUUAAUAUGCUUAUAUGCUAUAAAGAAUAUAACAAACGAUUGUAUUUAAUUUUGAAACGAUAUACAAUAUGAAUGUUAUAGCAAAACAUUUAUGAUAACCCUUUGAUAGUUCUUACGUAACUGUCUGAUAUAACUAGUUAAUUGUCACAUUUGUCAUAUUCGCAAUAUGGAAAAAAUAAGUGUUAUGAGUUGAACUUUUCUAUUAAGUUAUUACAAAUUUAAAAGCAUAAGGACUCACUUUUUUUUCUUUUCGAAUUAAAGUUUAAAGACUAAAUUAUUACAUAUUUAAAAAUUAAGAAAUCAUAUACUGUUACAAACAGAAUUGUUAUAGAUUUAAAAGUAGAGAAAUUAUAUUGUUAGAAUUGAGGUUCAUCAUUUAAAAUGUUACUUUCACAAAAGUUUAGGAAUGUCGAGGGCUAUCUCAAGUAAGACCUAAAACUCAUGGAGAAGCACAAAUCCAAAAGAUACUUGGAGGCAACAUGGAAAAAACCAAAAGGAAAAGUUAACGCCUUAAGUUUUAGGCUAGGUAGUUAAGUCUACGAAUACAUACUGAUUUCAAAACAAUCCAACUUGUACUCGAAUAUGUUUCUUUCAAGCUUGAGUGACACAAACUAUGAUGAAAUAAUCAAAGUUUAAAUGCAACCAAAGGCAACUGCUAGAGGAAUUACUUUAUAAAUAGGUUAUCAAUGAUUCCAAAAAAGAAGAGCAAGUACUUUUUGAAGGAGAGCCAUUGUUAAGAUAGCCCAUCUAUCUUUCUUUUUGCUUCCUCUAUUAUGUACUCUCAGCUCAUGUGAUAAGACCCCAUUGUACUUGUUCUAGAACUUGGUUGUUACAAGAGUAUUAUUCUGUGUGUGAGUGUGGUGUAGAGUUUUUCAUCUCGAUCAGCUUCUCUUUAAAUAUUUGAAAAUUAUAAAAUAUCAAAUACGAAAUGAGAAGCCAAAGUUUUUCUCUUGCACCAAUAUUACUUUCUUCAUUUUUUUUCCAUACGACACCUCUUUGGCUUAUCACAAUAUACGAAAAGGAGUCAUGCCUCUAAAAAAGUAUUUUCUAAAAAUUCAACAAUGUGUUGAUGCCCUAUCAUCAAUUAAUAAACUGAUUUUCAUUGAUGAUCAUAUCCUUUACAUAUUGGCUGGAUUAGGAUAUGAAUAUUAAUAAAUGAUGUCUGUUAUAUGUGUCAAAAAUGACUCUUUUUCUAUACUCGAUGUUAUUUCUCUAUUACUUACCUGGGAAUUACAAAAUGAAAGCAAGAUAAUUAAUGAGACAUCCAAUCAGAACCACCUCGAAUAACAAUAAUCAUUAGUACAAUUCAAGAGGAAGCUGUGGUGGUGGACACUCAAAUAGAGGAGGAAGAGAAAAUCAAAAUAAGCCACAAUGUCAAAUGUGUACAGAAUUUGGGCAUAUUGCUAAUCAAUGUUUCUUUUGAUAUACUCUAAGAUCAAAUCCCUCAAGUUACUCCCCAAACUUUAUUACUUCAUCAUAUACUAAUAUCACUAAUAAUCCACAAAUAUUUGCUACGGUGACUUCUUUUAAUCUGAAUAUUGAUAGCAAUUGGUACCCAGACUUGGGAGCUACAAACCACUAACUCACAGCUUGAUCAAUCUAUCUACUAGAUUUGAGUACAGAGGAAGAAAUAGAUCUAUGAAAUAAAUGGGCCAAGUUUGCCAAUUUCUGAUUAUGGUUCACUAUCAUUUAAUUCUUCCAUAAUUCCCUCAAAAUCAUUCGUCCUUAAUGGUUUGCUUCAUGUUCCAUCUAUUUCAAAGAAUUUAAUCAGUGUCUUACAGUUUGCUAGGGAUAAUAAUGUCUUUUUUGAAUUUCACCCCACUCUGUGUUAUGUGAAAGAUUAGGAAAAUGGUCGAAUUCUUCUCCAAGGACUCUUCAAUCAUGGACUCUACUAGUUUAACAUAAAAUCUUCACACCAAAGAUCUCUACAAUCUGAAAACAACACUAGAGUUGUAUUAACCAUAGUUGUAUCUAAUUCAAAAUUUCAUUUACUUGAUCUGUGACAUAGACAAUUAGAUUAUCCUCAUUUACUUGUUGUUAAGAAUAUUUUGAAAUAUGUCAACUGUUCUUCUAGAAAUAUAAAUAAAAUAAAAUUACGUGAAGCAUGUGCAUUAGGCAAGCAUCAUGCUCUUCCAUUUUCACACACCCACACUCAAUACUCUCAUCCCUCACAACUUAUUGUUUGUAAUUUAUGAGGCCUUGCAUUUAAUAUCUCUCGUGAUAGUUUUAGAUACUAUAUAAGUUUUGUUGAUGCGUAUAGUAGAUACACUUUGAUAUACUUCUUGCAAUCUAAAUUUGAUGCUUUCUUAGCAUUUAAAAAUUUUAAAACUCUUGUUGAAAAAUCUCUUGUCUAGCCAGUCACAAGUCUCUAAGCUGAUGAAGGUAGCAAAUUCAAACCCUUCAUACCUUUCCUUAACCAACCUGACAUUAAGCAUCGAAUAACUUGUCAACCCACAUCACAACAAAAUGACAUUGUUGAAAAAAAAUGUAGACACAUUAUAGACAUGGGUCUCAUCUUACUGUCUUAAGCCACCCUACCUCUAUCAUUUUGGAAUGAAUUACGUACUUCACUCCUAAACAAUAUAAGUCCUUUGAAGAAGCUAUUUGGUCGGAAACCUAACUACCCUUCUCUUAUAACUUUUGAUUGAAAAUGUUAUCCCUACCUUCAACCCUAUCAAUCCAAUAAACUAUCUUUUCCAUCCAAACCCUGUACAUUCCUAGGGUACAAUACCUCUCAUAAAGGGUACAAAUGUAUGUUUCCAAAUGGUCACAUCUUCAUCUCUAGACAUGUUUUAUUCAAUGAAAAUUAAUUUUCCUAUUCAUCCUUCUCAUCACUCCACUAAUUUAAAAUAUAAAAUGUCUUGUCUCCACCACUUACUUUUAUUAUUCAAUCACCAACUAUGAACCAUAAUAAGGAGAGACAUCACACUGACACAUUUUCUGAUAACACUAAUCAUUUGAAUCCUACUAAUGUGCACCUUUAGAGAUAGGUGCUCAACUUAGCUCUAUGAAAGAAACCAGUCAUAAAGGUCCUUGUAAUAGACUAAUCUCAACUCAAUCCACAAAUCUCUCACCACCACAACAUCAAGAUGAGUCCAACACUAACACUCAACUACUUUUAGUAUCUACUCAUCCAAUGAUGACUUGAAGUAGGCAUGAAAUUUUCAAACCUACAACUUUUUUUUAUUGAUUAUACUUAACAUGAACCAUGUAAUACUAAGGAAGUAUUCAAACAUCCUCAUUGAAGGAAGUCUAUGGAAGAAGAGUUUGAAGCCUUACAAAAGAAUGAUACAUGGAAACUUACUCUAAAAACUCCUAAUAAAAAAGUUGUUGAAUGUAAAUGAGUUUUCAAGGUUAAAAGGAAUUUAGAUUGAUCCAUUGCUAGAUAUAAAGCAUGUAUAGUUGCUAAAGGGGUUCAUCAAACACCUAAUAUUGAUUACAAUGAAACACUUAGUCUUAUUGUGAAACUUGUUAAUGUUUGCAUGAUUUUAUUUAUAGCAAUCAUGAAAGGGUGGAGUGUACGCCAACUUGAUGUUAAUAAUGCUUUUCUUCAUGGCAUCUUAGAUGGAAAUAUUUACAUGGAACAACCAUUUGACUAUGAAAUAAAAAGUAUUUGUUCCAUAACUUGUCACCUAAAAAAGGCUUCUUAUAGCCUUCAGCAAGCCCCUCGAACAUGGUAUGAAAAGUUGAGCUCAAGCUUACAUUCAUUAUACUUUAGAACAUCUAAAACUAAUACAUCUCUUUUAAUCUGUGUUACUCAUACUUCAUGCUGCUAUGUUCUGAUUAUUAUCAACAGUCCUGAGAAAGAUUUGGAUCUUCUAAUUCAGUCUCUAAAGAGUCAAUUUUCUUUUAAGGAUAUGGAAAAACUUAGCCCUACAUCCUUGGAAUUGAAGUUUCCUAUCCUACUAAUGAAGGUUUUGUUUCUAUCUCAAUAUAAAUAUAUAACUAACUUGCUACGCAGGACAAACAUGCAAGAGGAUAAACCUAUAGCUACAACAAUGGUAAGUGGUCCUGUAGUCUUUGCUUUUCAAGGGAAAUCAUUUCAUUAUAUACAUAUGUUCUAGUGCAUUGCAGUAUGCUACACUUACUCAUUAUGAGAUUUCUUAUAAUGUCUAUAUAUAAAGCUUGUCAAUUUAUGCAUGCUCCUAAACUUACCCAUUGGCAACUUGUGAAACGAAUUUUAAGAUAUCUUAAAGGUGUUCUUUCUCAUGGUUUGUGGCUUAGAUGCUCUAAUAAGCUAUCUUUAAAUGGUUUUGUUGAUGUGGGUUGGGCUUUUGAUCCUAACAAUAGGAAAUCAACUUCAGGCUUAUGUAUUUACUAUGGUGAUAAUUUAGUUUCUUGGGGUCUAAAAAACAAUCUAUUAUUCCCAAGUCUAAUACUGAAGCUGAGUAUCGUUGUCUUGCUCUUCUUGCCAUAAAAGUGGUAUGAAUUCGUUCUCUCUUAAAUGACAACUAAUGUAUUACUCCAUCUCAUCCUCACAUUCUGUGGUGUGACAAUCUAAGUGUAGUUCACUUAAGUACAAAUCCCAUCAAAACAUGUUGAACUUGACACUUAUUUUGUUCGGGAUCUCAUAUAAAGAAAAAAAAUCACUACUACAAAAAGAGCCUUUCUUGACGGUUGUUAUUUUUCUUUCUUGACGAUUUUUGAAAAAAACGUCAAGAAAUGGGUGGUUUUAAAUAUAAAACGUCAAGAAUUUUUAUGAAAAGGCGGAGGUAGGCUAAUUUUUCAGAUUUCUUGACGUUUAUUAAACGUCAAGUAAUAUGUAUUUUUCUUGACAUUUAAAAAACGUCAAGGAAUAUAUAUUAAUUUCUUGACAUUUUAAAAAUGUCAAAAAUGUUUAUAAAUUUGACAUUCUUGACGUUUUUUAAACUUCAAAUAAUAUGUAACUUUUUUCGAGGAAUAUCAUUAAAUUCUUGAUGUUUUAAAACGUCAAGAAUUUUUAUAAAAUUGUGGAGAUGAGUCAUUCUUCAAAUUUCUUGACGUUUUUAAAAUGUCAAGUAAGAUCAUUUUUCUUGAUGGUUUAAAAACGUCAAAUGUUAUUAAAUAUGUAUAUAUAAAAAAAUAUUGUGUUGAUUCCUUCAAAAGCCCUAGGAUGAAAACACGUUCCUUCCCGCACGAAGAUGCAAAACUUGUCGUCUCAGCCGCUGCACUCUCAAUCGUCGUCUCAGUCGUUGCCUUUUCAAUUCGCAUCUCCAUCUCUCUCGGCUACACUCUCAAUUUUCAUCUCCAUCUCUCUUUUGGUUCCUCUCAAUCGCCAUCUCCAUCUCUGCUCUCUUAUUGCCGCUCCUUCCCAAUCCGUCCAUCGAAUUUCUUCGACCUCUCGAACUCGGCUGGCGUCAAGGCAUUGGAGCUUCGCAUUGGCUAGGGUGAAACCCCCCUUGAUGGAGAUUGGGUAAUUUCAUUUCAAAAUCCAAUUUAAGGUGAUUUGUUCUAGUGGCUAGAUUGACUAAUAGAAGGAGCAGAGCAGAAAGGGAUGAGUUUUUUUUUUUUUUUAUAAAUAUUUUGUUGACCCUUUUUAUGGGUUUGGAGGCUUUCCAAUUGAUUAGGAAUACCUAAGCUGGCCAACAUUCUCUUGAUGAUAUUGUGAGCGAUCGAGUUUGAAUUGAAAUAUAUAUUAGUGUCUUCUUACAUUUGCUGAAUGCACCAAUGGAUAUGCUCAUUGAUCCAUACUUGUAACAACAUUCUCAACAAUUGUUUACUUGUGUAGAAUUUCAAAAAUUUGUAUACAUAUACGUAUAUAUACGAGUUAAGACAACUAACAAGUGAUUUAGUUCACAAAUACACAUCAAUUUCUCAAUACCUUCCAUGGAUUUCGUUUACGGUCACAAGUAUCACAAUGAACAAGAUCAAAAGUAUUAAGAGAGACUUUUAUUAUUUCAAUGGAAAAUCAAACAUUUUUGUUUAGCAAGGGGACAUAUAUCACAAGAGGACUGAUGUAAAGUAUCAUUUAAUAUGGACAAAUUUUUAGAAGAAAGAUGUCCUAAAUGAAAAUGCUUGAAAAGAAAUAAUAGUAUUAAAGAGGUUACCAACUGAAGGGGGCAUUAAAUAAAUAAAUAUGAUCCAUUACAGCAUCUAACGCUGUCAAUCAUUCUCAAACUUGAAUUGUUAUGUAUAACACAAUCAAUGUUAGAGAAUUGUAAAGAACAAAAGAACCAUCAUGUAACAAGCAACUAAUUGAUAUUAGAUUAUAUUGAAUUAACUGUGGAAUGAAUAACACAGCACAUAAAGCUUCAAGUAUUAUGAAAGUUGUACAACUUUGAUAAAGUUCACAUGAACGCGACUGUUAUAUUGAGAAGUAUCACACAGUAAUAUAAAAAUAGAUCGACAAUUAACUAUGCAUCAAUGCUUGAGAAAAACAUAUUAUGUGUUGUGCAACACCAAAAUUCAUAUUCAGAAUUUUUGGUCAAGUUAAAUGAGGCAGAAGGUAAUGAACAAAUACUUGUAGUGUGAGCAACAAUAAAAGCAAUCACUAUCUUAGAUUUUGAAGCAUGAGAUGAGUGGAUAACAUCUCCAUAAGUUUAGAGUAUUGGCUGGUGGAUAAGGUGCUGAAAAAAUUCAACUGAGAGAUAGUAGUAGAAGCAGUCGUGUUCUUUACAACAGCGACAUUGUUAAUAGGAGAUGAGGAGCAUGAACCACAUGCUCCAACAUUUGUAGAAGGGGUUUGACGAUUGAGUUAUGUCGUUAGCUUAAACAAUGAUCCCAACUAUUCCUUGUACUUAACAGAGUAUACAUAUGAAACAAGCAUUUGUUCUUUACACUAUAAUUCACAGCAUGCUAAAAAAAACAUGGUAUAAAAUCUUGUCCAAGUGGGCGAGGGCAUAGGGGAAUUCAUACCUUCCAAGCUUCCAAGCUAUUAUUUACACUUUCCCAACCCUCCAGAACGAUAUCCUCGUUAGUUACCGCGAGGACACAAUCUCAUAGCUUUCAAAUUCAUGUAGCUUGUCUUCAUCAAUACAAGAUGCAGAUGAAUCAAAUUGUAAGGAAGAGGGCAAAGAAUCAGAUGAUAAAGAGAGAAAAUCCACAGUCGAAAAGUCUAAGGCAACAGAUGAGGGAAAGACGAGGAGGUGGUGGCGCACGAACGGGGAAGACAAACAAAAAUUGUCAAUAGACGAUUGGAGGUGGUGGUGCACGAAUGGGGAGAGUAACAGUAAAGGCAAGUAUCAACUUUUAAAGUCAUUAUAUUUUUGUAGACUACUAACAAUUAGGAUUACUUUGUUAUUCAAAUUUGUUGUUUUUAUAUAGUGUUCACUACAAGUCGGGAGUACUGAGUGUGGAUACUACGUGAUGAGGUAUAUGAGAGAAAUUGUGACUAGGGGAAGCAUUGUCAUAUCCGAUGCGAUAUGUUAUAUAUCAAACUAUUGGUUUUGUGAGUUAAUUUGUUUAUUUGUAUAGUCAGUUAAUUCAUUUAAUUUAUUUUGCAUGUUUAUAGAUUGAUACACGAAGAUCAUACUCACAGGCAGAACUAGACGAGGUGCGAGUCGAGUUAGCUGACUUUUUGGGUUCUUACAUAUGAUUAUGACCAAUAUUUUAUUAUUCUGAAGUAGGAAAUUUUUUGUUGUGUCGCUUCUUUAUGACCCUAAACUUUAUGUAUAAAAACUUUAGCCGAUAAUUCUUUUGAAUUGUUCAUAUGGAGGAGGGGGGGGGGGGGGGGUUCAUUCGAUUAUACUUUUGAUUAUAGCUAAAAUUUAUUUCAUUAUGUAUAUGUAAAGUCUUCGAAUUGAAUAUAUAUGGUGAAAUGGUUUUAUUUAUAUAUGUUUGAGAUUUGAAACUAUAUUUGAUGAAUAUUAAAUAUCUAUGAAACUGUUGUUGGACAAUUACAGGACAAUCAGAAUAUAUUUCUUUCAAUUACAGCAUAAUUCAAUUACAAUUUCUUUUUUUUAAAAAAAAUAAAAAAUGCUUGACGGUUUUAAAAUGUCAUGAACAAUUGCAAGUUUGACGGUUUUAAACUGUCAUGAACAAUUGCAUUUUUGACGGUUGACAAAUGUCAAGAACAAUUACAUUCUUGACAGUUUUAAAAUGUCAUGAAUAUUAAAAUUCUUGACGGGUUUAAAAUGUCAUAAAUCAGUUCAUCCUUGACGGUUUUAAAAUGUCAUAAACAAUACCAGUCUUGACGGUUCUAAAACGUCAUGAACAUAAGUAUACUUGACGUUUAUAAAACGUCAACGUUCACUAUUCUUGACGUUUAAUCAACUGUCCAGAACUUUGCCUUUCUUGACGCUGGCUUCAACGACGGUUUUAAAACCGUCGAGAGAGCCUUCUCUUGACAGUUUAAAAACGUCAAGAGAGCUUGUUUUUGUAGUAGUGAAUUAAAUUCAGAUGAUGAAAAACAAUCUGAAAAAGAAAGUAGAAAUCAUAAAAAUUGAUGCGUUGUUUUCUUACUACUUUACUUUAGGUUGGAUCAGUUCUCCUUCCAAAAUUCUCUUUUGUUUUCCAUGGUUUUGUCCAUAUAUUUUUUGCAUUCAAUUUUUAUAUCAUGCAAUUUUUUUCCUGUACAAAUUUUCAGGGUGGAGUCAUCUUUCAAGCCUGUUACUAAUCUUUCAGUAUCCAUUAAACGAAAGGUAUUUUGUUUACUAUAUUGAUAUAUUUUUGUUUAUGAUGUUGGAUUGAUGAAAUUUAAUUUCCAUUCUACUUGAAUAUCCAUAAUCAAACAAACCUAUCAAAAUGGCCAUUACUCUACAACUCAUGUCAACUGUGAGGUAUUUUUCUUCUCUCUUAAAGAAAUUGAUCUCUCUCUUCAACUUAGUGUUUCCAUUUUUCAAAUGUAUUUUUUAUUGGGACUCAAUUUACUGAUAUUUUGAUGUAUUUAUGUGUUUUUGUUUUCCUUAGUGAACAUGGGUUGCUAUAUUUUUAGAAUUCAAGGACACACUAGUACAACAUAAACAAAUCCUAUUCAAGUAAAAGUUGUAAAUAUAAGUUGUGCUUAUAAAAGGUGUUAAUUGAGCAUCUUUUUUACUUUUCAUUAUUUUUGUUUUCUUGUUUCUCAUUACUUAGAAGUCAAUUUGUUUAUUUGUCUUAUCCCUUUUCUCUCGUCCGAAUUUUCCUUUGUCUUCAUUGUACACAUGAAUCGAAAUCUCAAUCGAGGAUGUUUCUUUGUCGGUUUUCGAUGGAAAGUUUUGCAAUUGGGAUGUGAGUGUAACGUUAGUUCAAUUUUGACUUGGUUCUUGAUGUCAUAUUGCCUCAUGAUGUCUUGGAUUGUUGGGUUAGAGUUCGUUUGAUAGAUAACAAGAUUCUUAGGAUUAAAUGUGAUAUUAGUGGAUGUAAAGAAACAAGACUCGUCUGUUUAAGAGAAGUGGAUAUAAUAUGUAAUUGGUCAUUUGAAUUACAUCUUGUGAACUCUCUCGUAUCAUUUCUUGGUUGUAGUAGAAAAAUGAUUUGAUGAUUUCUAUGGGAGCUCAAAAGCGUUGUAAAAGGGUGCUUGUAGUUUUGAACUUAAUUGAUAUAUGAAUGUUCUUGGCCUUCAAGGUGGAUGGACUUAUGGAAUAGGUUGAAGGAAAAACCUGAAUGUUACAUCAUUUCAGGCCUUCGUGAAGAAUAAAUAGGUACUAAGGCACAUGAUCUUAUUGAUUUAAACUCAUUAUGGAUGUUGUUUGAGUAGUUGAUGGGUAGGACCUUUGUUACUGAGGAUAAAGUGGAAUAAGAGGUAUUUUAUUUGGUGCAGAGGAUUUUUGUUGAGACUACAUGACAUUCAUGUUUGUUCGUUUCUUGGUUUUUUAGCAAAGAACAGUAACCUUACUGCUAGGAGAAGGUGAUACCAAUGACUACAUAAAAGUUUAUGAUUCAUUGCCUGUCACUAUCCUAAAUUCAUAAGAUUUGGUCUUCUUUAUACAUUGCCGCAAAAAGAUUUACAUUGUGAGUGUAGGAAUUAAAAAAGACAUGGUUUUGUUAAGUAUUAUCUGAGUAACAUUCUCAAUCCUUCAACUGCAAAAUAAUAAUAAAGACAUGAAAUGUGAGCUCGAUAUCUUCUGCAAUUUUAAUGAUCUUUAGGUAUUUACAUUGUUUUCAAUUAUUGUUCCUUCUUUUACACAGUUAUUCACUAUUAUAUAUAUAUUUUUGGUGCUAUAGGUAAGUUUGAAACCUGGAAUAAACUAGGUUGAAAUGCACAAGUAGGUUGUUAUAUCUUUUCCUUUUUCUCUUGGUUGAAUUUGGAAGUGUUCGUAUCUUUAUUUACAUUGUUUUAUUCUCUGUAACUAUAUUCAGUGCUUGCUGAAUGGAAGCCUCUUGUCUAAGACAAUUCGAGUGGAAUAACUCUUGUGACUGCCACAACAUUUGGGAACUCACCAAAUGUAAGACUAUUCCUUUAUCCUAGCAUUUGAUCUCUCUCUAUAAUUUGGUUUGCUAUCGUAAGUUUGAUUAAAAUAAAUGCUGAUAAUUCAAUUCCAAUGUUCUUAUUUUCUUAACCCCCAUUCAGUCAGUUAGAAUCAGAACUCUUUUAUUUAUCUUGUCUCCAGAAUUUGGAUUCAAAGAUUCAUCACAAUAAUCUUGUCAACAACAUUCUUGAAAAGGUAAUAUUGAAUUUUCAACUGUGUGACCUUUAUACACAAAUUUCUUCAAAGAAAUUUACAUUCUUUAGAGUUUAGAACUUAUAAAGCUUUUGAUACUUGUUAGACUUUUUGUUUGGUGCUGAUAAAAUCUUAUUUACAUUAUUCUUUUCCUGCAUGUUCUCUUUUGAUAUUUGUUAGGCUUUUUUGCUUGGUUGUCCUUAGUGUUUUCCUCUUUAGCUGAAAUUUCUCUAUCUUGAAAAAAGUAGAGCUUUAAAAUUCAACUUUAACUUUAUUUGAUACUAUCUUAGUCUAUACUUAUUUUGGUAUUUCUUUCCUUUCUCACAAACACAUCUAAGAGUUGCCUUCACAAUAUGGUCAAAUUAACAAUAUGGCAACCUUUUUCAUUGAAAAACAUAUUAGAGGUUGGUUACUUAGUUAGCCUUAAUGAGUAAAUAAUUGACAUUUAGGUACUUUUUAGUUUGUAUAUUUAUAGAUGCCAAAUCGAUAUGUGAAUUUUAAUUGUUGCUUAUUUGAAACAUUGCAACCAUUUGAUAAAAUGUUGUUAUGUGAAUCCAUUUUAACUUGAUAUAUUGUUUUAUUUUGGUUUAGGUUGUGGAAUCCAAGUUAGUAUUGGAAGCCAAAUUCAUCCAAGAUCAUUGAGUUUCAAAGCUUCUUUAAUGAAGAUUUUGUUUUUUGAACUAUAAUUGUAGUCUUGUGAUUUUUAGAAUAGCAUAGUUGGAUUGGUUUUGUAAUUUUGGGAUUAUCAUAUUAGGUUGGGGUUGACUAAAGUAGUGUUUUGUAUAUGACAGUAUUGAACAAAUAUAUAAAAUUUUCGAAAUGCUCAUACAUAUAUGGUUAAACGUUAAUAUAUGUUAAAGUUUUGGAAUUGUAUUCGUGCAUAUUUAUGAGAUUGUUGGGCCACACUACAGGAAUUAUAGGGACAAUACAGGAACAAAAAUAUAAAUAAAUUAUAAUUUAGAAAAAAAUCUAAUACAGACUUGACGUUUUUUGAAUGUCAUAAACAAGUAAAUUCUUGACGUUUUUUAAACAUCAUAAACAAUUGUGUUCUUGACAGUUUUUAAAUGUCAUAAAUUACAUUCUUGAUGGUUUUUAAAUGUCAUGAAUACUCAUUCACUUGACGCUUUUUAACUGUCAUGAAUAUUUGUAUACUUCAUGUUUAUAAACUGUCAAGAAUCACUGUUCUUGAUGUUUUAUUAACCGUCAAGAACUUUGACUUUCUUGACGCUGGCUUCAACGACGGUUUUAAAACCGUCAAGAAUAGUGGUUCUUGACAGUUUAAAAACGUCAAAAGAGUCUGUUUUUGUAGUAGUGAAUUUAUGUUCGACACCUUACAACAUCUGAACAAAUAACAGAUGUGCUCACCAAACCACUGUUAGCUACAAGCUUUCAUAAGCUAAAGGAUAAGCUCUUAUUUGAUGCCGCAAUUAUUGAUUUGGAGGGGGGAGGGGGGGUUAAGACAACCCAUUAGACCUUGCCCAUUUAUCUUUCUUUUUGUUUUCUCUAUUAUGUAUUCUCAAUCUAGUGUAAUAAGUCCCAUUUUACUUAUUCUAGAACUUGGUUCUUACAAGAGGUAUUAUUUUGUGUGUAAAUGUAGUAGUGUAGAGUUUUUUUUUUAAUCUCCGCUUCUCUUUAAAUAUUUGAAAAUUGUAAAACAUCAAAUAUGAAAUGGGAAGUCAAGAUUUUCUUUUGCACCAAAAUUACUUUCUCCAUUCACUAUAAAAAUUAUGGAUCUCCCAACGACGCUUUUGACCGUCGGGAGAGAUGGUGUCGGGAGAUAGAAGGGAGUCGCGGACACUUUAUUUAAAACAUCGACAAUUUUGAGAUAACUUCUGACUCCUUUUGGGUGGCAUCAGAAGUUAUCUUUUAAAAAAUCUACUUUGGCAAUGAGAUGGAAAAGAAGAAGAAGAAAAAAUGGGUUAUUGUCUCUUAGAACCUCCUUCCUAACUUCUCUUCAGUUCUAUCACUUGGUGCCAAAAGAGGUUCAAGGAUGUUCCAUCUUCGCUUUUGGGUCUACCUUAUUUUUCAUCUUUAAUGGCUUCUGUUUGAUUUUGAUUGACUCACUACUAGAUUCCAGCUUUAGGGUUUGAAUAUUUAGUUCCUGUAAUUGGGGAACCAAUCGGCUAUGUCCCAAUCGGCUAGCUCAAUAACCCAACAAGUUCAAUUUUCUUCUUCUUUGAUUAAGACCAUAGGAUAACAUCAAAUUCAAGUUGAAGUGAAGUGGAUCGAGCAAGAAGCAAGGUUUUUGAAGGUUAGUUCUUUUUCUUUUUUCUCUUUUGUUUGAGGUUUUUGAUCGUGUGUGAUUUUGAAUGUGUUUUGUUAAAUUAUCACUUACCAAAUGUUUAGAGGCCUGUUUUUGAAAAUGGGUACUCUAAAAAAUUUCAUCAGAUAUGUAGCAAGUGCAGACAAUUAAUUAGUUCACUACAAGAAUUAGGAAUAUUCCUGACGCAUACAAACGUAGGGAAAAACACAAACGACCAAAAUAUUCUCGAUGUCAGAUACGACGUCGGCAUGGAGUCGGGAAAAUUGUGCCAGGGUAACUUUCACUGACGCACAAGAGAUGAACGUCGACAAAACUGUAACGGACGCAGUGAGGUAAAGACGGAAUACAAGUAUCCUCGACAUGCUCAGUACGUCAAGGAAGAAUAUUUUCCAACGUGACAUCGAAAAAGGCUUUCCUCGACGUCAAUUGAAAGCAUCAAGGAUAGAGGGUAUCCUCGACGUAUAGACUAUGUCAGAUAUAUUUAUUUAUUCUGUUAUUUAUUUAAUUAUUAAUUAUUUUUGUUAUCGUGAGUUAUUGUUUUCGGUUGCGCUUCACAAGACAAUAAACAAAAUUUGUAUCAAAUUAUGAAAAUUAAAAUAUUUCAAUUUAUAAUUAAACAAUAUACACGAAAGAUGUUCAAUACAAAAAUUACAUAUAAUAUAAAACAAUUACAUUAAAUUUUUUUAAAACAACUACAACUAUCUACUAUUACUAGUCAAGAAUGCCAAAUAAAGAAUGUCAAACCUGCAAAUGACAUAAAAAUAUAAUUAGAAUAACACAUAUGCAAAAUUAAACAAAUUAAAUGUUGAAAAGUACGUACCCUAAGUGUUCACGACCGUCUCUGUGGUCGACUCAUCUCCUUUAUCAUUUUCUUCAUCUCCUCCAUUUGUCAUGCAUGGUCUGCUAUUUUUCGGCCUCACUCCUCCUUUCUUAGUUAUUGUGCCCCAAUCAUGUGGUUAGCAUUUUCAAAGUUGACCUUUAGUUUACUAACCUCUAUCAUGUGUACUUGGUGGUCAUAAAUAUUGGAGGAAGAAGCAAAAGCAAAAGCAAAACUCUUCUUGGACUUGGGUUUGGGGUCCCAACCAAGACCUUUUGAGGAGCUUGGUCGUUUUUUCAAAAUGGUCUUGCAUAUCUCAUCCUUCAAGAGUGGUUGAGAACCCUCUAGGACGAGAUGAGACUGGAGUUCUAGCAUUGAUUUAGCACAAUAGAAGUUUGUAAGUUGAAAGAUCAUCAUACUUAAAAUAGAAUUGGAAGUUUAACAAUUUUUUUUAUACACUUACAAAAGUGUUGUCUGCUGCUGGUGAAACGAACUUGCCAGUCUUGUUGGUGUGAGCUUCUCGGAAUAACUCGAGAUAGUCCAUCGGACAACUGCGUUCUUCAAUGAGCUUGGUCUGUCUGAACGACUUUAUGCUGCUUCUGUGGUUGGAAAACAUCUUCUCUGUACUCAACGUAAAACCUAUCUCCGAGUUUCAUCGAACUCUUAUCCAUCUCGUUAAAAACCCUAACAAAUAAAUAUAUUGGAUUAGUUUUAUAUCUUUCAUCUCGAAUACUCCAACUAUGCUAACUUACUCUAGAAUAAGUUAUGUCCAAUCUCCCAUUAAUUACAGGCUAUCUAAAGUUUUAAACACCCUCAAUCUCAAAUUCAAUGGUGUACGAACACCACUAACAAAUACAUCAACCUUUUUAAUUACAGUUUAUCUAACAUUUUCAAUCAUUCAAAUUCAAUUUAAAAUUAAAAUUCAUAUCAUAUUCAAAUUAAAUAUCAAAAUUCAAAUUAAAUAACAAUCUUGAAUUCAAUGAACACCUCCAUCUCAAAUUCAAUCAACACCUCCAUUGUCAAAUUCGAUACAUCCUCUUCCCCAACCUCCAAUUCAAUAAACAACCAUCCUAAAUUCAAUAUAACCCCACAAAUCUCAACAAUCACAUAUUCAAUAAUAUUUCAAAAUACUCAACAUCACUCUUAAAUUCUAAAACCAAUUCAAUAAACAAACACCCUAAGUUUAAUACAACAUCACAAAUCUCAACAAUAAAAAAUUCAAUAAUAUUUCAAAAUAUUCAACGUCAAUUUUAAACCCUAAAAUCAAUUCAAAUUUAAUACUAAAAAUAAAAAAUUGUUCCAAAAUUAUAUCAUAUACAUUCAUUAUAUCAAUGCUUAUCAUAUUCAAAAUUCGACUACAUACGCUUAUCAUAUUCAAAAUUCGACUACAUACAUUGUAUCAAAACAUAAUAUCAAUACAUACACAUUUUUUCAAUAUUUCACAAAUAUACAUUUGAAUCACUUUUCUAAUAUUUAACAAACAUACAUCUAAAUCUAAAUCCUAAAAACAUUCAUUAUAUUAUAUACAUUCAAGGCUGUUCAGCAAUAUAGAGAAUAUUACCCGUUGUGCUAACAGUGUCGAUAUUGAAGAUGAUACUUUAAAUAGUAGGUCAAUGAAAUCAUACUAUUUAGUUUGACGAGUUGAGAAAAAUAUUUUCUCACGACUUGCAUUUCACAUCCUUUAAAGAAUUGCAUAUGGAGUUAGAGUAACUAUGUUUUAAUAAUUCUUUGGUUUAUUAGACUCGUAUAAAAUGGCAUAGGUAAUUAGUUAUAAUUACUUAGAAUUAUUAGCAAACAUGUCAAAUGAUCUUUUGAUAUUUAGAAGUCCAACUGAACUUUUAAAAACUAAAAAAAUGGAUUGCCGAAAGGAAAACCACAUUGCUGGAGCUCGAGUUUCAGAAUUACGUCAUGUGAGUUAAGAAAGAAAAUUUUUAGCAUUUGAUUUCUUAGUUGCAUAUAGUUUUUCUUUGCAUCGUAUUGGUGUAUUUAAAACAUAAUAUCAUAUAAUUCACUUUUUCUCAUUCUAGUUGAGGUAUAUGAAUCUUUCUAAUUUUGUAUCAUUUUGUACAACAUGUUUUUUGUUGUAUGAGUUAAACAGAUUUGGAAAUUAAAUCAAGAUUGGUUUUAUUUAUUUAUUUAUUUGAAAUGGCAGACAAUAAAAAGGAAGACCCAAAAACAGCCCCACCACAACAAGCAAUACCCAAAUCUUAUUAAUUGAUUAUGAGAGUUAUGAGCAAAAGAAAAACAUGAGUAUGUUUAUUUGUUCUACUUUAUGCUCUUCUUUUGUCAUCUUCUUUGGAAUUUUCUUGUUUCUAUAUUGUCUUGGCAUAUGUUUCAGAAAAACUAAGGAGGUUAUUGGUGGUGGAAGGAAGAAAGAUCACUAAAGAGAUUUUUUGGUGUUGUGGUUAAGGUUUCGUUGAAGGAACGUAUUUUGGUGGUUUCUUUUGUGCUUUGUUGGAAGAUACUUUUUUUAAAAAAAUAAUAGAACUCGAGACGCACUAAUAUGCAGCAUCAGAAGUAGUCAAGAUCUUCUGACUGUGCAUUUUUUGGUGUUGGAAAAGCCUCUCUCGACGUAGUUCCCUCAACCCCCUUCUCAAAGCGCAUUUAUGUGUGAAGAGAUCUCUUUCUGACGCAUUUUCGUAUAUCUCCUGAAAAUUUUGUGCAUUGAGAGAUCUAGAAUUUCUUGUAGUGGUUGUAAAUACUUCAACUGCCAUGACUUUACUUUCAUGUGAUUAGCCGUAUUACACAUUCCUUAUACUAACUUAGACAUUAGAGUGUAGAAUAUUUGACACCAAACUGGUGUAACAAACAUCGUGUUGGGUUAGCUGGAAAAGGAAGACAAGAACAAAAAAAAAAAAGCAAGUUAGAGGUCAAGUCCAGAAUGGGCCUACAAAGGAUGUUUAACGCAUGCGAGAUCCAGACAUGGACGAGGGAUAAAAAAUAUUUUUGACACAACUUUUACAUAGUUGCUAAAUAUUUUUAGAAAAUGAUGGUGUGAGAUUUAAAUGAGGAAGCUUAGGAGAAGCUUUUUGAAAGGGUGCAUGUGCACAAGAUUGAAAUGGCACAUGGGUGUUCCUGUCUAUGCCAUUGCUUGUGGUCCAGAGAAGAUCAAAUAUACAACCAUCAUCUUCUUUGUGACAAUGAGGUAUUUCAAAAGCCAACUCUCUAUCUGCACAUAUUAUGAUUUUUGUUGAUGUUACAUUUUCAUUUACUUUGUAACAAAGUAAAUAUACACACACACACUCAAGUACCAUGUAUUAAAUAUAACUCUCAAUCUACACACGUAAGUCAUGGGAUAUAUAUGAAUUACGAUUCAAGUCGUGUAUCGUAAGGUAUAAGUAGUUUCUAAUAGAGAAAAUAAUAUAUUUGUACUGCUUAAUUUUGAGUUGUAUCGUUUAAAAUUUUUAAAUAACACAAUUGUAUAGUAACUUAAAUUAAAUGAAGAAGUUGUUGUUUGGAUUAUUGAGUCGAUACAGUAAUUGGUGUUGGUGUAAUUUUAGUUUGCGUUUGAUCUUUUUCUAUCUUUUUUCUUUUUAUUAAAAUAAUGAUACCUUAAAUGUCAUGUUUUUGUCAACCUAGUAAAUUUAAUAAAACUUAUUUCAUAAUGUGUUCAUAAUUCAAUGGAAUAACGUAUAUAUUUGUAAUGAAGAAGAAAAAGAAAAAAAAUUAGAACACUUGAAUUUAUACUAUUAUUUGGAUCGAGUUCCAAAACGUGUAAAUAUAAGGAAUUUUUACCCUUUAAAUUAAUAAUUACUUACUUAAUUGUUAAAAUGAGUUUUUCUUCUAUGAAGUUACAUAAAAUUCUGAAAAUAAUAAUAAUAAUUUUUUAAUAUUUAAACUCAAACAAUUAAUAAAAGAAAAGAAAAUUAUUGAAGUAUGAAAAAAAGAGAUUUUUUUUUUAUUGGAUAAUGCUUCAAAUUUGAUAUAUAAGUUGAUAAAAAAAUUGUUUUUAUACACAAAUUGUUUGAUUUACUAUACUCAGUCUUUUUAGAUUUAACAAUUAAUUAAAGUUAGUAGCAAUAGUUAAUUGAUAUUGAUUUAUUUUUACUGGUUUAUCUUACAAGUUCCAACUAUAAUUAUUCCACAUGUAUUGAGGUAUUGAAAAAACUCAUAUUAGAUAGUUUGUAAAUUACAAUUCUUAGAAUGGCAAUAUCUUGAAUUUUUAAAAAGUCAAAUUAUGUGAAACUUAAUCUAAAAUCUAUGUGACCAAACAGAUGAAAUAAAAAGUCCUUAGGAUAUGUAAUCGUAUAUCUGUUUAGCUAAGAUCAGAGGUAUACCUUAGUUGAGUUGGGUUGUGGAGUUUUUUUUUUCUUUUUUAUUUUGCAAAAAUUCAAAAAUUUAAACUGGUAAACCAAAAUAUCUCAAACGAGUAUCCAAUCUAACCUUCAAAUUUUGAGUUGGCUUGAGUUGAGUUAUCAGGUUUUUAUUCAACUGCGAAGUCAUAUAAGAGCAACGAACACGUGGAUUCUCUCUUAAUUAUGACUUUGUAUUGUCAAUAUAAAAUUUGCACACUUUAUAUAUAUAUAUAUAUAUAUAUAUAUAUAUAUAUAUAUAUAUAAUGUGACGAUAUUAGUUUAGGUUUAAGUUUUAUCUCUUACCUUUUAAAAUGAGUAAUUAUAAUGGGUAACAAUUUUAAAAAACUGUAAAUAUGACACAGUUCGUAUGUGAUAGAUUUUUAUCGUUAAUAGUCUAUUUAUGAUAGAUUAAUAUUUGCAAAGUGAUAUAUUUGUGAAUAGAGUUUGACAUAUUUUGUUAUGUUUGUGAUUAUCUAUUUUAAAAUUGAAUUUAUUUUAUAGCUGAAAUUAUGUGAGACCGAAAUGAUAGGUUCAAGUUCUCUCUUAACAAAAAAAAAAAUGAAGAAGAGAGAGAACUUUUAAGUUUCCUUUCAUCAUAAAAUGUUCUUGUUGCUUAAAAUUUCAAGUCAAUAUAUAUGAGUUAGAAAAACUAUAUUUUUUUUUAUUUGUCUUAAUUAAUAUUUGGGUCAUAAUCAUUUUGUUUUAUGUUUUUGUUUUUGAAUUGUCUAUUUCCUUUUCAUAUUUUACAACUUACAUUUUUUUUUAGAAUAUAGGUAACAAAGAAAAAAAUAGAGGAAAAACAAAAAAACAAAUUGAUCCAAAAUGGAUCUUCAUUCUUUGAUUUUAGUUUUUAAAAAUUAAAGCAUAUAAACACUACCAUUUUCAAAUAUAUGGUUUAUUACUUUGUUACUCGCCGUCAAUACAAUUUUAAUUCUUGGUUUCUAAAAUUAUAAGUAACAAAUAUCAAAACUUUUAAUUUUAACUGAGCUUCAUGAAAAUAUCUAAUACAUGCCCGAACUAAUUUCAAUUUAACGUUUAAAAGCAUGGUCUCAAAUCUAUUAAUAAUAGAUUUGGACAGUUUUUUCUAUAUUUAUAAUUUUUUUAAAAAUGUUACUAUAUUCUUAAUUAUUUUAAAUCUAACGGUUAUAUUUGCAACUAUCACAAUAAAAAAAACAGAGUUUAUGAUAAAGUGGUGCCUCCUGCCUUUCAAAAUUGAAUUUACUACUAUAGUUGUUGAAUUUUGUUCAACGUUCUAGUCCACACUAAAAAUGAAAUUUAUAUUUUUUUCAAAAAACAAAAAUCCACUUUUAACUUAAAUUUUGUAGCUAACAACCAUUUCUUUCAGUCCACAUACAACUUUUUUGUUGCUUAAAAUUUGAAAUACACGUGUGUGUGUGUGCGUAUAUAGAUAUCACAUAUUGGUUAGAAUAACCCUCGAUUUGAUUUUUAGUUUUAAACCUAUUUAGUAAUUAUUUGGUUAUUUGUUUGAAGUUUUUAAAAAUCAAACAUAUAAACAAAUAUAACUUUUGUUGCUUUGUUAUUUUUGUACCGUAGCUUUAAAAUUACAUUAAAGUUAGUACCCUUUUAAUUCUGAAUUUAUAAAAUUAUGACUAAUGAAAUAAGAUUUAAUUUAAAACGGUGAAAAUGAAAAGAACUUAACAGUCGAUUCAAAGGUGAAUUUUAGAUUACAAUAGGAUGGUACUCCAAUUCCAGUAGAAGUAGAAGUGUUUGUUGAGUAUAGGAAAGGAUGAUAUUGUGGAAGGGGAUGGGCUGCAUAUAUUAAUUAAAAUGAGUAUAGCGUGAGAUGGAUGUACUUUUGGAGGCCCAAUCCAAACAACAAUAAUUCUCAUGCUUCAUUUUCCCUUCCCCCCUCUUUGUAGAGCAAAAAGAAUAAAUAAAACAUAAUCGCUUUCUUUUUUUCUUUAAAUAAAAUUUUAUUCAAUAUGAAGGUAGAGCAAUGUUUAAUAGUACUAAAAAAAAACCAUGUUUAAUAAAAACCUUUCUGAUUUCUACUUAUUUCAUGUUUAAUAAAUUUUGAAAACGUUUACACCAAAUCAAUUUUUCAAUAUUAAAAUACAAAAUUUUAUAUUCUACUUGUUUUAGAUAUUUGUUAAUGCAUUUUAAAAACUAAUAAAAAUAACAAUUCAAUUUGUAUUUAUUUUAAGAAAAAGGAAAACAAAGAAACAAACAAAAUUGAUUAUGUUCUACAUUUUUUGUACACACCUUUGGAAAUGUCCUCAAAAUUUGGAAUGAAAAAGAAGAACAAUAAUCAAUAUCUUGUUACCAAAUAAGUUUUAUUAGAUAUGAAUGGCUUAGUAGUUUUUUUGGUCGAUAACAUGGUGAGUGCGUGGCCCUUAUCUUACAUUAUGUGAAUUCAAUACUCUACUCUAUUUGUUUUUUUCUUUUUUUGGUAACUUAAUCAUAAAUUUAAGCCAUUAGUUUCAAGUGAGAAUCAUAUAUAACAAACAAAAUUUUCAUUCCAAAUUCAAUAUGCCAAAAACUAUCUCAUACGAACCUAUUGACUAGUUUUUAAACAGUUUUUCAAUAAAAUCCAACGUGACGCAGUAAAACGACAAAAUUAUCCAUACUUAAAUGUCAUAAAAGAAUAAAAUUAAAAAAUAUGUAAAAUUACAUCAAAAUUAUUAAAUAAAUAAUAGUUGUUGAGCGAUUGAUAUUAGAAAAAGGUAAACUUCAAAUAAGUGGCUCUAGAAACUUCAUGCCAGAGAACUUGAACUUAAGCUUCACAUUAGGAAUAGGUAAACUUAUCUGCCUUUAGCACUAGAGUUACUUUUUGUUUUGUUUUUGUAGAAUUUUAUAUUUUCAAAAUUAUAAAUUUAUGAUUGUUGGUAGAGUUACUUUUUAUUUUGUUUUUGUAGAAUUUUAUAUUUUCAAAAUUAUAAAUUUAUGAUUGUUGGUAGAGAGAUGCAUAUCCGUCUUUUUCUAUUCUAAAUUUUGACAUCAUCAAUUGUCAUUUGGAUAAAUUAAUUGGCAUGGACAGAUGCCAUUUAAAAAUGACACCAUGCAAUCUUUUGAUUCAAGCUUCACCUAAUGCAUGGGAAAUAGAAUGUUAAAAUUAGCGGAGGAAAAAGAAUGAACAUUUGAAUUCAUCAUUUAAAUAUAUCACCAAUAUUCUGCUCAUAAUCUCAUUUUUUGAAUCACACAAUAUAUAAUUUUUCUUUUCAUACAUAUUUUAGAUAAAUGUAAACUUUGAGGGCACCCUGAAAUAAAUUAGAAUAAUAAAUGAGACGAGUAAUCUAUAUAUUCUAUUAAAAUAGUAAAACUUUUGUUUGAUCUUUUUUUUUAAGAGUUAGUAUGGACCAUUUUUCGUCCGAUUUAAAAGUUCACCAUUAGCCAUUUCCAAAAAGCUUCCUUGCUGUUUUAAGUUUUGUUUGUAUAGAUUCAUCUUUAGAUGAUGUCAAAAUUUGAAUUUCUUCGUGAAAGUAAGUGAGAAACAGAUUAAAGAUAUUUUAAUUAGAGCAACUCAACUAUAUAAAGAUAAGUUUUUUAGUCUUAAAUUUUAUUUAAGAAUAUGGGACUAUGAGUUAAAUUGAAAGGAUAAGAAUCCAAACACAAUGAAAGAAUUACAUAACCAUCACUCAAUUUAAUAUGGAUUUAAAAAUACCAAUACAUUAGCAAUAAAAUAUAGAAACUAAAUUCUAAAUUCUAACAUUAAACAUGUUUUUGAAAUUAAAAUUAAAAAUUAUAGAGAAGAAAACUUACUCUAUUCACGUCUUUAAAUCUAUCAAUCACCAAAUUUGAGGACAACACCACUUAGAGACCUCCCUAUUUUGUAGGUGGGAUUUUGGCUGGUGAAACCAAAAUUGAAAAGGAAAAUUUGUGAGAGAAUUCUUGUAAGAGAGAUUACACAUAGCAAAGACAUAUAGAUGAAAAUUUUAAUUUUGCUGGAUGUAUAACUCCCUUUUCUUCACUCCUUCACCCGUAAGAAGAGGGAAGUUGAAGAGAAAAAAAAAAGUCCCUAUUAAUUUUUAAAAAAUCAAAUUAAUAAUUAAAUAAGAUUUAUUUAAUUAAUAUUUCAUUUAAAUCAUAUUUUAAAUAAAUAUCUUUUCUAUCACCUAUCAUUUUAAUUUAACUAAAUCAAAUUUAGUUAAAUAAAAUUAAACUAAACUAUUAAUUAAUUCUCUAAUUAAUUAAUCGCUAAAUUAAAUAUAAUAUAUUUAAUUUAAUUCAAAUUUGGAUCAUAUUCAAAUAUAAAUUUUUCACAACUUAUAGUUUCAAUGUGUAUUAUAUACUUUUUAAAUUUGAAAUUAUAAUUUUAAUAUGAAUCUAAUUCACAUUAAAUUAAUAUUUGAACUCAUUCAAAUAUCUUAUAUCUUAUAUCUCAUCAAUUAAUUUUGAAUUAUAUCCAAAAUUAAAUUUAAUUAAAAUAUAAAUUUUACAGUAUAAUGUAUCACCAUUCAUUAUAUUAGUUUUCAAAAGUAAAUUUGAACAUUUCAUGUUAUAACCAAUAUAAAUAAAUCUUAUUACUCUUUACGAGUUAAGAAGGAGAUCUAAUGGACCUACACAUCAAAAGCUACAAUGAUAUGAGAUUAAUUAGCUAAACUCAUUAACCACAUUGAUUAAUAUUUGUUAACUCUGUGUACACUCCACUAAAGACUCACAACUAAACUCUUCUCAUUAUAGAUAUAUUUCUGUGUCCAUGAAUAUAGACCAAUAAUAGUAUGUUAGUUUUUCAAGUGUCUGUAACUCCAACUAUGUCAUAUUAUUGUUUUACCCCUGGGUUACUUCUAGUCUUUAAAUACCAAUGCUCAUCUAAUGAACAACCUAUUUAUGGUUCAACCACUAAACAUAAACCCCUCUCAUGCCAUAAAGAGGGUAGGGCUCUUUGUUCAAGUUCCAGAGGCACCAUUUAAGGGAAUACUUAUCUACUUACCCUAAAGUUGAAAAGAUGUGAAUCUCAUCUUGUGUGAUUAUGUUUCCAGCUUCUCACUCGGUAUUGUCUCCAAAAUGAUAAGCAUAUUAAUUCGACAAUCUGGCCACUCUCACCCGUACAAAUCAAAUAACAAUCCCUUGAGAACAUGAGUUCAUAAUACACUUAACUAGUUAACGGAGUACAUCUAGUGGUUACUAUUUCGUGGUCCAAUCUUAUGCAAACUCAUUGCAUAUGAUACCCUCACUCACAUGUCACCUACACAAAUGAAUUGGAUCAUUACGUUUGUAUCAAAUAUAAAGUGAGUCGUAUCCAUAGUGUUACUAGGAUAAGGUACCCAUCAUUAUUCUUAUACUAUAGACUCUUUAAGCUGUAUCUCAUACAUUGAUUCUUAUGUAUCUCUAGGUACUAUUCAAGACUCAUCAAACAACUUAGGAUGUUAGUUUAUUGGAUUUAGGUCAUUAAGACAAAACUAAACUAAGAAUAUAAUCAAUAACACUUAUUGAAAUUAUAAUAACAACACUUUAUUAAUAACGAUCAAUGAAUUAUAUUUACUAUGUACGAGUUUUAGGACAUAAAACCUAACUUAAAUACUUUAUACAACCUCUUAUAUUAAUCAUUGUUUUAAGCUUAGUUGAACAUGAAAAUCUAAUUACCACUGCUACAUUUGGAUUCUCAACAUGUCUUCUCAUCCUCAUGAUAGUACCUCCUUCUUGGAUUCACCACUCUUGGAUCAAGAUUCAAAAAAUUAUUUUUUGAACCAAUGCGUUUGAUUAGCUUCAUAGACUUUGAUACAACAUUAAAUUAACAAGAGUUCAAAUAUGAAAUCCUCGAUAUUCUUCUUAAUUUCUAAAAGGUCAAAUUUGGCAAAUUAAAUAAUUGUAGAUUAUAUGAAGUGGACUAAAUUACAAAAUUAUUAGUUUUUAUGGUUUAAGGGAAAGUUUUAUUAGUUACUUUAUAGCUAGAUUGAUCUCUAAGAGGGCAUUUAGGCCCCAGUUUAUCACUAUUGGGUUAGGGUUAAAUUUUUUGGGUCAAACUCUAGUUUUAGGGUUUCCAUAAUACUCCUAAAUUCCUUUCACACUUAUCUCUUCUUUGCCAUAACCCUUUCCUUCACUCUGCUGUAAUCCACUUAGUUCCCCAAUUUUUUCUUAAUCUAUGUCGUCUUCUUCCUCUUUCUCCUUCCUCUCUUCAUUUUUUCUUUCCCUUUCCUCUUUGCGUUUUCUUCUUUUCCUUUCUUCUCUGCAUUCUCUUCUUUUACUUUUUCUCUGCGUUUUCUUCUUUCCAUUUCUUCUUUCCAUUUCUUCUUUCCCUUUCUUCUAUGUGUUUUAUUCUUUCCCUUUCCCCUUCCCCUCUCCAUUUUCUAUUUCUGUCAUGAUUCAUUUUUCUCUCAUUCCUCUUUUUUUAGUUUAUGUUCAAUAUUUAUACCUAUUAUAUGAAAUCACUCUGUUUUGUGCCAAAUAAACGGCGAUAGCGGACAGCUCGAAAAGUGGUUCGUAUUGGGAUUGACCUAGUGGAAUUUGGACUUGGGGUUAAAUAGUUAAGAUUUUCUUGGCAAUUUUGUUUGUGAAUUAGAUGUAAUUUCUUGAAAAACAGAGAGUGAGAGAGAUGUUGUGUUUGUAGCUCUGUUUGAUGAUAUUUGGUUAAGAUUAUUGGGUUUUGAACAUUCAUAAUGUGUUAGUUUUGUGGAUGGUGAGAAAUGGGUAUCAAAAAAAUUUGCUUUCCUAGUAAUUUCUUAGUACAAUUAUAUUUUUGUUUUGUGUAAGUUCAGAUUUGGAGUCUAUCUAUUUUAAAUCAUCUUUAGUCUAUUUAAUAUAAUGGAAUAACUAAAUUUCACUCAAGGAGGAAACCUUUGUUAAAUUUAACUUAUAAUUAUUGUUUGAUUUGUAAGAAUGGGAGAAACAAGGAUUAUUUGUGAGAGGGAAAAAUUCCUUCUUUGUCCUGUUUAAGCAAAUGUGAUAAAAGGAAAAUUCCAAAAAAAAAUAGGAAAAGAAGUUGAGCAAUUUGCAGUCUAUGAACACUCUUAAUUAAAGAUAUAAAAUUAUUUUGUCAAUUUAGUCAAAUGAAAAAGUCUUGCCUACAAAAAUUAAAUACAAAAUAAGUUUUGAGAAUUGGCAAAUUUUAAUUGAUAUGAGAGUUGAUUGUUUAAUAAGAUUGGUUGAAAAUGUAUUUAUUAAAACCACUUCUUAAUUAAACGUUCAUUCCUAGAAUUUAUUUUUUCAUAAUUUGAUGUUCAACUUCUAACCUAAAUUUUAAAAAUAAACUAAAAUAUUGGAUUUAAUAUAAUCUUUUUUAAAAAAUAUAUAUCAUAACACUACCUACAUAUUAAUCAUUUCCCUAAACACAUAUUAUUAUAAAAUUAUCAUAACACUACUCACACAACUCUUUUCCCAAACACAUGUUAUCCUAAUAUACUGGCUUUAUAAACCCUUCUCCUAAACACCUAUUAUAAUAAAACUAGUUUUAUCAUAACUCCGACUCUUCCAUAACUCAACCCUUCCUCCAAACGUCCCCUAAGAUUUUAUUAUUAAUUAAGAAUCUAACCUCUUGAUAAAACUUCGAUUGUAAACCGUUCUUAGAAUUUGAUUAAAUAAUUAUAACUUGCUCUUUAUAUAUAGCUAGUUUGACUAUCACCACCUUAGGUUUAUGAUAAAUUAUACCAUAAAUAAUGCAUACUAUAAACCUAAGGUGGUGAUAGUCAAACUAGCUAUAUAUAAAGAGCAAAUUAUAAUUAUUGACUAUACAAAGUAAUUUUAAUUUAGGGACUAAAUCUACCACUUAACUUACUAAAUUUUAAAAUAAAUAAAGCAUUUUGGGCCUAUUAACAACUUUGACAAACAACCUGCUUUUACUUUCAUGGCUGCAUCUUCUUGUGCGUUGCUGCUUUAAACAUUGGGACCAAAUUUAUACAUUUUGUGAUGAUAUAGUUUGUGUAACAACUAUUCUUAAUUUAUUAAUUAUGAUGUUAUAAUUUGUCUAACAACCAUUGUUUUGUAUCAUAGGAAAGAAAGAAGUUUUGUAUAUUUCAAACAGCUUUCUGGGACAAAAAAAAAAAAGUUUCAAUUUUUCACAUUAUUGUGUCAAAAAGAUUAAGAUCUAACAUCGACACGGGGAAUACAAAUUAUAUGUCAGUUGAUUUGUUCACUGAAUCAAAUAUAUAUCCUCGAUCAAUUUAAAGUAUUCCCCGUGUCGAUGUUAGAUCUUAAUCUUUUUGACACAAUAAUGUGAAAAAAAUAUUAUAUAGACUUAGUAUUUAAAUUAAGAAGGUUUUUAAAUAUAAAAUUAUAAAUCAAAAUACAAAAUAUAACAAAAUUUCAAGAGAAUCACGUCUAUCAACAUCUAUUAAAUUGGCAAAAGUAUAUUCGUGUCUAUUAGAUAUUUACAAGAUAGUAGAAGUUUAAACUUUUACUAUAUAAAUAUUUUCAACAAUUUUGUCAUAUAAUCAUUAUGUCCCGAUCUUUAAAGAAAUUGACCUAUUGAUUUUGUGGUCCCAAUAAAAAACAAUACAUAAUAUAUAUAUUUUGUUUGAAAAUGAAAAUGAUGGAUGAAAACCUCAGGAUUGAAGAAAAGCAUGCAAAAUAGUCACGUGUGCUUGAAUCUAUUUCAUUGGGUCCCACUUGAUGCUGAUUUCUUAUCAUUUGUCAAAUUUCAUGUAUGUAUGUAUAUAUUAUGAGAUAAAAUACACUUUUAGUUUAAAUUUCAAAAGCUAUACUUUUACCUUUAGGUUUGGGAAAUGAUUAUAGAUAGUCUCUAAUUUAAAUUUUGCUGGAGACAACGAGCCUCCUUUGUACAAAGGUUCAUCAAGCCUUCCUUCCAAUAGAUAGUCAUCCAUAUAUUUGUCAAACACUUAUUUACCUAAAUUUUCUUUAUGGGAGCACACACUACCCUAGUUAUCAUAUAGAGUUUGACCAUUGGAUUACACCAUAAUCACCACUUUUCAGGCUUUAAUACUUCAGUGCAUCUUUGUUUGAUUAGUUAAGUUGGAAACAUGAGUUUGAUACCAUUUUGAUAAGAGAUAAUAAUUAAUUUAAAAAUAUUUUCAUAAUAGUAUGAUAUUGUAUACUUUGACAUAAACUCUUAUGGUUUAAUUUGUCCAAUAUCAAUAAAGAUAGUUAUCCCUUUCACGGUCUAUUCUCCUAUCUAACUACUGUGGAACUUUGGAAGUCAACUUUAAAACUUAAAACCACCCGCAAACAUUUUUCCCCUUUUUUACAUCAUUAAAGUUUUACUUAAAAAUUUGAUUAUUUUAUCUUAUUCUCAUUUUGAAUAUUUGGAUCGCUUUUUACUAUUUUGAGAACUAAAUAAGCUGUACAAAUAGCAUACAUUUUCCAACGAUUUGAACUAAAAAUAAUGUUAAAAGAUAAGAAUUGAAAUAAAACCCCUGAAAAUAAAAGGGAAAUAAUCUUUAAUCUCAUACUCUUUACUCAUCAAUUAUUUCCACACUCUUUUGGGUUCCAAAAAUAGUUAAAAUAUAUCUAAUACAAUAUAUGGCUAGUCAAUCUAAACAUAACUCAGAAGAUAAAAAAUAUUUAUUACCGCUCUUACUUCAAACUUAUCAGCCAAAGAGACAUUAUGUUAUCUUGUAAUCAUGUAUUUGAUCUCUCUUUAUUCAUGCUGCCGGAGCAAAGUCGUAAUCUGCAACUAUACUUCCACCUCCGCCGAUAUCGAUAUGGGGUUGAGGAAGAGGAAGAGGAAGAGGAGGAGGAGGAGGCGGGUCCAGGUAGUUCUUACCACCGUGGCAGCGAUCUCCAUGACUGUUCUUGAGAUUGGAUUGAAAGAGCUCUGAAGAAAUGCUAGCCAUUGUUUAUUUUGUUAGCCUCGAUUAAGAAAUGAGAUGAGCACAAAAAGAGACGAAAAGGGAAAGGUAAGUAAAAGGAGAAGGCUGAUUUUUCUUUUUGACAACGGCCACCCCGUUUUGAUGCUUUAUAUAAGGAGGAAGAUGGUAUCCAAAGUCCAAAAAACUACUUUUUUCAUAAGUGGCGGAUUUUGACUCUCUCUCUCUCUCUCUCUCUUAUUUUAUUUAGUAAAUAAUCAUUAACCAUGAAAAUUUGAGAUAUAUAGUUGGAUAAUAUUUCUUUUUUAAAAAAAGAUCAAAAUGAAUUUUGUUCUUUUACUUAACAAUUUUGUCCUCUUCUUUGCAUCAUCACCAAACAAAUAUAACUAAAUUAUGUUUAAUUUUGGUUUUUAGAAUGAUAUAUAUUAAACCUAAAUCUACCUUCACCCAUCCACUUAAUUAAACUUAUGAGUUGGUUGAUGAUUUAAAAUGAUAUUAGAGCGAUUGAUCUAAUGAGAUUCGUGCUCAAGCCUUUGCAUUCUUAAUUUUUUUUCAAUUAACAUUCAUUUUCACUUUUUUAGAGCUUUUACAUAUUUCAAGUCCACACGUGAUGAGGAGCAUUAAAUUAUAUAUAAUUAAAUCUACCUCUAUCAAUUAGCUUAAUAUUUUAGGUCAACCAGUUAUUUAAGAUUGUCCUUUUCCUUUCCUCGAUUUUUGUCUUUUCUAUUUUUGUUCGGUCGUAGAUGUGUUACUAACUAUAAAGGUUUAGAGCAGUUGUAUAUGUGGUGGGGUUAACAAUGUAGGGAUUGGAGCAUUGACAUCGAGCAUGUGUGGGUGAGUGUUGAAGAGGCGAGAGAACGAAAGAAAAUUGAGGCGAGUGAGCAGGUGAGAGAAUGGAGAUUGAUGAGAGGGUGAGGGAGGGUAGAUAGCAAGAAAACGGAAGAUCCAAUCUCCUCGUGCUCAUUUACGUGAGGCUUCGUCGAGGUAAUUCUACCAAACACAACUUAAGCAAAAAUGACUAAAAAACAUAAAAUUUUUAAAAGGUCAAAAUCUCAUUUAUUUUAGGCCAUUCAUGAAAUUAUCCUUGAAAAAUUUCCUAUAAUAUUUCUUAUAUAUAUAAGAUAUGGGAGAUAUAUAUACACACCAUAUGUAUGUUUUCAUACAUAUAUAUAUAUACACACAUAUAUAUAUAAAAAAAAAGUUGUAAUUAGAUUGAAGAUGCAUGAAAGUGUGUAUACAUGAAAUAGUGACAUUGAAUUUUAAUUAACAUGUUCUCAAAAUUCAAAGAUGAAAAGAGAACUUCCUUUGAUGGUAUAAACUAUUGAAACUACCUGAAAAAUUAUCAUGAAAUAGUGUGAUUAAAGUAAGAUUAAAGUUGAAAAGUAAUAGUAUAUAAUUAAGGAAGUGUGUUUUUGGAAAUCAUGGGUGGGUGAUUGUUAGUGAUGGAUAGGCACAAGGCAAGCAUAGUUCCUUUAUUGGAAUAAUAUCUAGAUGCGGAUGCAAUGCAUAAGGGUCUCUUUAUAAGUCAAAUUAACUAUACACAUAUUUAAUUGUAUAAUCACACUCUCCAAUAAUUAUUCUUUGCACGUUUGACAUUUCUCUCAAGAACAUUCACCAACAAUUGGACUAACUUUUCUUUAUUAUCAAAAAAGGUUUGAACUAUCUUUUCUUCUCUUUUUUGUUUUCCCUUUCCUUUCAUAUUAUAAAUGAUAAAACCAUGCUCUCCAGAAUGAUUUCAAAAUUCUUCCCAACAAGUUUUACUUCCUUUUUCAAUUUCCAUUCCAACUUUUCAAAUAAGGAGGGAAGUUGUUAAUUAAAACUAUGGAAAAUUAUUUUAUUUGUGGGACAUGCGAGGUAAGGAGUUAACAAAUUCCUUUGGUCUAACAUGGAGUAGAGUUUUCCUUUUAACUCCAACUACUUGGGUCAAACAUUACCUGAUUAAUGAACGUGGACUAGAAAUUUAAACAGAUCAAUCUCAUAUAGGCUAGAAAUUUUCUAUUGGGUAGAGCUCUUUUGGGUGGAACAAAAACCAAAGCUUAGUAGAUGAUAUAUAUCAUACAAUUGUAGAGAUAUCGUAAAGAGUCGUUGUCCAUAAAAAAUGGUAAUGAACUCAGAUGACUCUCUACAGUAAACCAAAAAAUCAGGUUUGUUUGUUUCAUUUGAGAAAAUGAUAUUUUAUUUCAUUUUGCAUAUGUGAGAUAAAUUAUAUUCAUGGAGAGAACAACAAACAUGAAAGAAACUACAUAAAAUCAACCCAAGUCCGUUGUCCUUAUCAGUUGUUGGAGUCAUAGGUUUAAACCUAACUUUGUGUGUGGGAUUUUUAACAAUUUUGAACAAAAGUAGUGAUAGAGUUCUUAUGAAUGAAUGUCUAGAUUAGACAAAAAAUUGCUUGGGAUGCGAUUCACAAAUGGGAGCUUUUAAGUAAGUUGUAUUUAUAGGGAGAGUAGACUAGUAGCUAGGACUAUUUUUUACGAGUAGGAGAUUAAGGAUGUGACAAGUGGUCGAUAUCGAGUACAGUUUACAUAAUAUAAUGCGUGAUUGUGCUCUAUCUAGCCCAUAUCACAUUAGAGUUUCAUAAGAACAAGCUCUCGUGCAAAUGGCACGAAUGGACCAAAUGAGGAGAGAUUAUUCAAGGUGGUACUUUAUUUGAAGGGAUCGAGAAUGGUUAGGUGCAAACAAAAUUCUACACAGAUUAAGGAAGAAAAAUAAAUCAUAGAUAUAUAAGUGUGAGGAUAAUUAUCUUUAUUGAUAUGAGAUAUUUUGAGUGAACCAAACUAAACAUAACAUAUACCAUUGUCGAGCAAAUAUGUGCGGAAGUCCGUUGUCCCCAAUAAUUGGUAUAAUACUUUGAGAACAAGGGAAACUAAGCCUUAAGGGCAAAAACAUAAAAAUACUCCCUUUUUUUUAUUUUUAUCUAAAAUAGAAAAAUGCUCCCACAUAUAAUUAGUCCACUCAAAUAGGAAGCCGCCAACAUAGUUUAAACUUAAAGUUAGAAUAGAUACGAGAGACGAUUUAACCCUACAAGUGAAUGACAACAUGUCUAUUAGGUAUGUAAUCGUUAAAACACAAACCAAAAUUAAUUUUAUUACAUAUUUUGGACCAAUUUGUUAUAUUUAUUAAUUUGUUAUUUAGAAAAAGAAGGCUAGAUUUGACAAGAAAAUUCAAAUUCUGAUUGAAUUAUAGAGAGAAAUGUAUGUCUACACUAUGACUACACUAAAUAGGAAUGUGGGAAAAAACAAGAAGCAUAUUUGUCUAAAAAAAAAGACGAUGGAUGCUUAGAUGCUUCAACCUCAGUCGUAUUCCAAUUUGGAAGAAUAUUUAUUUUGCUGAUAGAAACCUAAAGCUGAUUUAAUUUAACAUACUAUACUAGAAUCAAUCCACUCUUGCAAAAAUUGAUAAAAAGAACAUUAAAAAAAAGGCAACAAAUCCCUCUGCUUUUUUUUCCAAGUUCCAAAUUUAUAUAUGUUAUUUAUAAUCUCAAACAGCUCGUAUCCUGCUGUUUCCAUAGAUUCCAUGUGAUAAUAGACCUUGGUUUCGAGCUAAAAUUCCCAUUAAUUGAUGUCACAUUCAAUAUCAAUCAAUCUGAGGGGCGUCGUUUUUGAAGAAUAUAAUUUUAAAUUUUUGUAUAAAACUUCAAAUAUUUAGGUCAAUUAGGGUUUAGCUUUUUAACAUGUGGACGGUGAAAUCGAAUCCUUCACAUUUUGAGGGUAAUAAUAUGAGUUUUAUAUAAUUAAACUUAUUUAUGUGUGCUUCCAUUAACAUAACACAUCAAUAAUUAGAAUAUGCAUAAAUUUCUCACAAUCUUAUUCGUUGGUAAAUAAAUUUGUUUGAAAUUACUAGCCAAAGUGAGUAUAGUUUAGUUAUAAUUGAAAUGUAAUAAUUCCUUUGAAAGUAGAUGUUAAAAGCUUCAGUAUACCUCACUUCAUUCGUUUUAUUCUUUUGAUGCCACAUUGGUAUGGUUAUAAUUAGUUUCCAACUUUUAAUUCUAGAAGACAUAUAUGAAGGUGUAUCUAUUUAAAUGUGUUCAACUAGACAGGUUAGAUUCUUAUAAGCUUUUGCUUUAAGACAAGAAAGUUGAAUAUGAUCACGUUUUCGAAUUUUUGUAUCUACCAUGUAGGAUUGUUUUUGUGCUUAUCCAUUAAUUAUGUCAUUAUUCUUCCUCUUUACUUAGUUGUUCAUAUAUAUUCUAUUCCAUAAUUAGUUCAUGAAUUGAAAUCAGCAAUCUAAUUAGCACUUUGCAUCUUAAUUACGUAUUCAAAUCGGGCUUAAUUUAUGUUGUAUGCAUAUCCUUAAUUACGAAUUCAAAGUCUUGAGUAAGUUUUUUAAUACUACCUGAUCAUCCCAUCUCAGAAUCUCUAUAUAAUAGGAAUCAUUAUGCUUUUUUGUUGCUAAAGUGGCCAUCUUUAUUAAUAAUUAAUUUCACUAUUUGCCAAUUUGUUGAUAGUGGUCAUUGUUGAUAGUUUUUUUGUCAUUGCUUGUGCGUAGAUGUUUCUUCCUCGAAUCAAUUUUGACCACGUGCAAACUAAGAUAAUCCAAAGUUGGGUGGAUUAGGUUAAGAGAUAUAUGCUCCAUCUAUUUACCCAAACUUCUCUGAUUGAGAUGUAAUUAAGAUCUAUUUUAACAAAUGGCAAAAACUACCCUCAACUAUGGUGGUUGCAUUCUCAGCUAUGAGGCACAAACACAUAUACGAGAUACAUAUAUAUGAUAUGAUAUAACGAGAUACAUCAAAGUUUUUAAAGCUAAGGUAUUGAUACAUUUGAAGAAAUUGUCAUUACGUGCUCGAGACGAUGCAGAGCGGCUGACGUCCUCAAAAUGUGUUACUUUUAAAAUAAAAAAGGACUCGCUACUAUUUUUCUUAUGUUGUGAUUGAACAUCAAAAUAAGUUUAACAAUUUGAAAAUAAAAUCAUAAAAAAUGGUAUCUGAAAACUAUAAUUGAGUUCGGGAGUUAUUUAUGUAUGAGGAAGGUGAGCACCCCACAACACCUGUUUAGAAAAAAGUGACCAAAUUUCAAAUCUUGAAUUGAAAAUAUUAUUAAUUUUUUAUAAAAAAUAAUGUCUUAUUUUACCUCCAGAGCAUUUUAUCACUUAGACUACAUUGAAGAAAACUUUUUUACCUAAAGAAAGUGAGAAAUUAGUACAAUUUCUCAAAAUCCGUACUAGUAAUAGUCUUGUGAUAAAGAGAUUUUUUUAAAACAUAACUAAAAUCAUUUUUUUAUUGAGAUCAAAUCUUGGACUCUGAAGUAUGUAAUCUCUCGUCUCAAUCAUUAUAAGAAAUCAGACUUUUACAUCGAAUUCUAAAAAAUUAGACUUAAAUAAAAUUAUAAGAAAUCAAACUUUUGUAGUAGGAUUUUUUUUAAAGAAAAACAAUAUAAGUUAUUAAAAAAUUUUGAUUAGAAAACUUUAUCAAAUCAUUAUUAAAUUUUGAAAGUGGGAAAACAUACAAAAAAAAAUUAUAAUUUUAAAGAAAAGUUUUCUAAAUGUUUUAAAAAUAAAAGAGUUUUGUGGAGAUUUUAAAACGUAGACAAAUUUAAAUUGAAAAUUGAUGUAAACAGAAAAAUAUAAUUUAAUAAUGAAUUAAAUAAAUAAACAAAAUGAUAUUAAAUUUUGAAUAAAAGAAAUUAUUGGAGAUGGAUCUCAAAAUUGCAAAUUUUCUAGAUUUGGUUAUCGAAAUUUUAUAGAAAGAAUGUGUUUUUUCGAAAGAUAAAAAAAAUUUGAAUGUCUUCAAAUGAUAUAUUUUUAUUUUUUAAUCAUACAAAAGAUAUAACUUCCAAUUUUCUUAAAGAAAUAUUAAUUAAAAAAUCACUAUAGCAAUUAAUGCAAAAAGAUUGUGUAAACCAAUAUCAUUUAAAUAAGCAUAGUAAUGAUAGUUUAAUAAACAUUAAAAAGAACACACUAACAUUUUAGAAUUUUUUUUUAAGAUUAAUCAUGGUCUUCCAAAGAAUGGGCUUCUUACCUAAGAAUUCUAAAAAAUUAAACUCUCAUAAAUUUUGUAGAUUCAAUCAUGAGCUGUCUUUUUAAAGUCAAAUAAUUUAAAAUGUUAACAAUUUAAACAAUUAUUAGCAAUAAGAUAUUAAAUUGACCAUAAAAGAGGAGAAAAAUAUAAUAUUAAAUAACAUAUUAAUAUGAAAAGAGGCUAAUGAAAUAAUAAUGAAUGCUAUGAAAAAAGGAAAAUAAAUAAAUAAAAAGGCUAAUCGUUAAAAAAAAAAGACAUUUUUUUUAUUAAGAAUAAAUUAACAAAGGAAAGACAUAAUAAAAAAAAUAACAAAAUGUAAAAGAAUACAAAUAAAUAAAUAAAACGACUCACAAGACAAUAAGAAAUAUAUGCAAGAGCAAGAAAAAUAGAGAAAUAAGAAGAAUAACCAAACAAAAGAAAAUAAAAAUAAAAAAUGUUGAAAUUCAAAACACAAAAAGCUCUUGUUGUUUGAGGUGUAGAUUCUUCGGAUUAAACCCCUACACCUUCAAUUAAGUUAGAGUUUUUCUUGUGUGUUGGAUUCUUCAUACUAUAGGGAGUUUUUGGAGGUAUAUGAAGAUUUACGGAGUUGUUAGAAGAGAGAAAAAAAUGAAUGUCAUAGAUCCUUGGUAUUUUCUAAGAAGAUGAAACCUAAGAGAAGUGAUGACUAAGAAGGCUAGAGUUUUGAUGAAAAAGAGGGGAUAUUGUGAGGCCUAGAUCCAAAAAAGGAGUCUUGUUGAAGAAUAGAUUGGUAAAAAGAUUGUUUUGGCUAAAUGUAGAAAUGAGGCGUCUUACAAAGAAGUUUUCAUCUUAAGGAAGGGCGACGAGGGGUGAAAGUAUGUGAUAAGUGUUGUGGCAGCGAAGUAGGCGUUCUAUGCAAAAGAAGUCGGGCAUUUUCUUGUGGUAGCACGAUGAGAAGUCAAUAAAAAGGAGUUGGACAAUUAGCUAUAAGGAGAAGAAGACUUGGAAGAGUUUAGCUUCUCGAGAAGAUAAAGUUAGCAUCUCAAGGGAACGUUUGAUCAUGAAUGGACAAUUGGCUACUUAUUGAGCUUGAAUUGGUUGCGCGACACGACAAAUAGUAAGAUGACUUGUACAAAGUUAUAUGUAGGAACUUGCAGGUAAAGAGAGUCUUGAUGGUGAUUAAUCGGACAAAAGGAUUAGUAUAAAUAGGACCAAAGGAAUCAAAGGAAGUAUGAUUAUUAUGAGAAUUUUCCAAGGAAGUGCUAAGAGUUAAGUUGUUUGCUAAAGAGGCUAGCCGAGAAGAGGAGGUGAACUAAGUGAUCUGAAAGGAAGGAAAUUGAGUAAUUUGUGAGUGACUUUUAAAUGCAAAAGAAGUAUUUUGCGAGUGAAAAGAAGUGUUUUGUGAAUGAUUUUCUUAGGAAAAUGUGUUUAAUGUAUUCUUUCGAAGUUCGUGGUUAUGCAUAAUGCGUCAUGUAUAUCUAUAUGAAAAGAGAAAACUAUUGAUUGCUAUGUGAUGAUUGUGAUGCUUGUGUGCGAGUAAACCAUUAGCCUUAUUCCUAUCAAGUGAGCAGUUGUUAUGUUGUGUGCACAUAAUGUGUAAAGGCAUCGUGUGGAUAGCCUAUGCAACGAGAAACGAAUCAAGAAAAUUCAUGGAUGUUGUGGAUGGAGUGAACAUCACAAUAGUCUAAACGCAGGAUGCUGGUAAGAGUGAGUCCCAGUAGUCGUGACGUAGGGAAAAAUCCAUGUUCUUGGUAGAAAGGAAUAAGAUGAAGCUAAUGCGUGAUUUAUGUGAUUUAUAAAAUAAGGCAUUGUGAGCCUAUGUUUAAUGAAAUGAAAAUGAAUUUGUGUUUGUGUUGUAUUCCCCAAAAAUGUAUUUCUAAACUUUCACUCACUAAGUAUUUGACUUACGCAUUAAGUUUUCCCUUCCUCGGGUGUUCAGGCGUUGAGGCCAAGUGAAGAAGAGUAAGAUGAGUUUCUUCCUUACCAUUUUAUAUGCAUGCAAAAUGGUUGUAGAUUUGAUAUUAUGAGCUCUAAUUGAGUGACUGUUAGGCAACUAAAUAGAAGUAUGAGUAAAAAGAUGUACUUAUAUUCAUGUGUUGCUAAAUCGUUAAAAAUAAACAUUAUCAUGCAAGUUUUCCUCUCUCUCUCCCAAGGAUAAGCGAAGAGAGUUUUUUUUAGUCAAUCCAAGGUCGAACAUAGGGAAUUUAAGAUCCUAAUUUAUCCUAUUGUGCUGCUAAAUCAUGCGGUAUAAUCUAUACAAUAUGACAUAUGAAUAAUAUUCCUUUUAAUCUACUAUUUACACUAUAGUGCUUUGGUGGUGCAAGAUGACAUGGCAAAAUUAGGGAAAAUGAAUAAAGAACUCAUUAUAGGCAUGACGAUGUAGGUAUAGCUUAAUUAUUUAAAUGUAAUAAACUGUGCUUAAUGAUUUAAGGCGAUACAAAGCAUACAUUAACUCUAAAUUGAGGCAAGCUACCUCUCGGCGCCUUCACCAUACUUGCUCGUCUUUCGAGAUCUAAAUAAACAAAGUUAAAAUAUGAUUUAUAUCUAAUCAUUUUAUGAGCAUUCCAAGUUGUUUCUCUUUGAUUAAGGCGGACAACUUCUCGUUGCUUUCGCCACAUGCAUUGUCAUUUUUGCAAUGUAUGUGGAGGAGAAACUUGGCUAUAAGACUGUAUUUCUACAAUCUUCUUGCCACUCGCAUAGUCAGAUGUGUGUUCUUACUUGUCAGAUGAUUACAAUUAAAACCAUUGUGCUUUUUUCGAAUAUACAAUGUUCUUGAUAUCCACCUUCAACUGAGCAAAACUUAAAAUACAAAUAUCAUGAUUCUUUAAGCAUGAAAACAUAUUUUACUACUAAUAAACUAAUUAAACAAAUCAAAGAAGGUAAGAAACAAGAACACAGGGGAAUGAAAUAAAAACCGCAACGUAUUGAAUAAAAUAACUUUAAGCCUUUCGGCCAUGGAGUACAUAUUACCACAUAGUACAAUAUAAACACAAAAUGGAAGAUAGAAGAAGGAACUACGCCUCAGAGUAUGAUUUCUCAUCCUCUUUGGCUCCAAUUUUUGCCUAUGGAUGAGGAGGAAGAUGAAGGGGGAAGAACUCUUUUUCUCUUUUGUUAUAGGUUCGCACCUAGAAACUCAGAAAAAUGGAGGGUGGAUAAUUUAGAGCUUGCUCUCCGACAAAAAUAUGCAUACCUUGUUCUGAAGUGAGAGACUUUAUUUAUAGGCGAGAGUUGAUGUUGACAGGAGGCCACAAACCAUUAAUGAUCUAAAAAGUUGCAUCAACGAUGCAUAGACUGUCCUUUUUCAGAAUUUUGCACCAACCAAUUUUGUCUGCUAGUGCCUUAAACACCUAGUGUGCUUCUUUGUUGAACGCUUUGGUUAAACGUGUCUUCUUGUGUAGACGUUAUUUUGUCAAGCAUCACUUCUUUUGCCUAGAAAUCAUGUGAUAAAAACACUAAAACGCAGUAAAACAAGGAUAAGGCUCGUUCAUGUUAUGUUAUUCAUAAGUUAGCCAAAUCGCCUACUUUUUCCUUUGUUUCUAUUCUUAUGCAUUUAGACUCCACUAUUUUAUAUAAAAGGCUUCAAUAACUUGUAUUUCUACAAGUUAUCAUUGUAAUGGGUGGAAGCUGAGCAAAAAAUUUGUACUCUUUUAUAUUAUAUUUCCUUGUAAUAAGAGAGUAAUUAUACUCCUAAACAUCUUGAGCAUAGAGGGCCGCCUCACAAUUUUCUGAGAAUUAGGCAAGGUGUUCACUCUAAUAUUUUACCUUUGUACUAAGUAAGAAUGGGUCCAAACAAUAAAGAUUUCGUGUUUUUUCCGCUGUAGUGUUCUGUGUUUUCUAUCUAGUAAUUAAAGGACUUGAGUAAAGCUAAGUUAAGUAUGUUAAGAUGCUUAUUUUUUCGCUGCAUUUUGUGAGUGAGUUUCUUGAGUCCAAAGUUGGAGAUCUGCAUUGAAAGCGGUUUAAGAAGUUGUUCCGCUUACUAGGUGUUCAACGUUUAUCACGCGAUGUGAUACAUGUUAAAUGUCACACCCCUCCUGGAUCACUUACUCUUGACUCGAAAGACGGCAGAAGUUAACCAACAUCGUUCCCCUUCUGAACAACACCAAUUGACCUUGACUUCUGAAGCUUUUGGAAUACUAAACAAAUUAAAAUUUAUGCAGCGAACAAACACCAAAGUUCACAAUAUAACUUAAACAAACUUUCUUACAAGAGUUCUUUAAACACACAAGGCUAAUUGCCACUAUAUAUAGACAACACUUGAAUCAAAUAGAAGCUAACAACUGAACUUACCCUUAGCUGAUGUAUAACACAAAAGUAGACCUAAGUACUGACUAACAAUAGCAAAACCAUUAACUACUUUGAACAGCAGACUGAAGACAACGGUUAGGCUUUCAAAUCACGACCUCUACCUAGAAAGUUGAAAAGAAUUUGAAAAGGGUAAGCUAAAUAGCUUAUUGAGUAACGGUUUGAAUAAAUUAUACAUUUGAAAUAAGCAACCUUUAGUCUUUUUAUAAAUCGAUAAAAAACAUAACAUAAGUAUAAAACUAUUAAACUCUUUCUAAGUAAAUCUCUGACAAAUCUUUCUUUCUUUGCUAAAGCAAUUCUUUUAACGUUGUUUAUUUUAUACCUUGGAAACUCAGUCACGAUAGCAACUAGUUCGACCUACUAUGCCUGAAAACUCAGUCAUGACGAUACCAUGCCUGAACUUGGUUAAGAUAGUAGAGCGCUAAACCAUCUUGCCUGAACUUGGUGGUAGCGGAAAACCCUUUACCCUUGAAACUUUGUGUACAUUGACAGUCGAGAACUCAGUAUAUAUAACAAAUAUGGUUUUCUUGCUUAUAAAAUCAUUAUCAAUAAACUCAUGCUUAUAAAAUCAUUAGAUAUAAAACAUUGCUUGCAAUUCACUCUAGCAGUUUUUUAAUAAAUACAUGUUUUGCUAAAAAUUUCUAACUAACGCUUAGGAAUCAUUACUUAAAUAAGUAAGUUCGUAAGAUAUAUUUAGAAACUUCAUUUAGAAAAAACUUUGUCACUCACAGAUGGUAGUUUAAACCCUCGGUCUAUAAACUUGUCUGAUCUCCUCUUGAUCUGAAAUAAUGGAAAAUAAUUCUAUUUAAUUUCCUUUUAUCAUAAAAAUAUUGAAACUUUGCUUAAAAUUUUCCAAAAUACUAAAACAGCCUAAAAUCACAUGUUUGGCAAGACUGACAUGUGAGGGGUUUGCGACAAGGCUAGCACUCGCAAGCAAGGCCUGGGCAAGCCUUUCCGCGUGCUAACAUCACAAGAGGAGCAUGCCACCUGACUUGCUCAUUUGGACUCAAAGUUGUACAUGUGCAUGAUUAAUUCUAUGUGACAAGUCAUUGGUUAAGAUAAUUGUAUUUGAAAUACUCUCUAUGUGCCUCUUUGUCGCAUAUUAGUUAAGUCCUUCUUGAGUACAAGUUUUCAUAUUGUUUGCCAAAGUAGAAACGAAAUAGAAGGUUUUCCUAGAUGAUCCAGGGUCGAACAUGAAAAGUUAUAUCAAAGCUUAUUUAUAGGGUCUACUUGUAGAUUAGGCAGUAUGAACGAAUUAACAAAUGCAAAGAAUGUUAAACGAUAACUACUUAUUUACACAUAAAGGUUUUCUGCAAGAUGAUUAAAUGAUGGUGGAAUAUUAACUAACUUGCACAAAAGAACGAGUGAUGGAAAAUCUAUGCAUUGUAAGGUGAUUAAGUAACAUGUUGCUCUUAACCAGAUGAUGAUUAGGAGACGCUCAUCUCAGAGACAUUGAACGUCACACAUGGUCACUUGUUGGGAUCCAGAUGACUAAUCUUUGUUAAGCGAAAUAUAACUAGAAGUAUUCACUUAUAAGACUUAUAGAGCUUUGUAUUUAAGGACAAAAACCUCUCGGCACCUAGUGUCCACACUUGUUCUCUUUUGGGGAUACAAAUGAACUUAUCUUGCAAGGUUGAGAAAACUCUUCCUUGUACGUGUUAGCCACGUCCUUGCUACAUACCCUAUCAGGUAUUUGAGGACAUAAACUAGUCAAGUGUUGAAUACAGCUCUGCUAACGCGAUAAGAGUUAUAAGCUAGACUACUUAUCAAGAACUUACUACAUACUUAAAUUACAAACAACACAUUGACAGAUGGAAAUUAAAGAAGGGAUGGAUUGAAAAGGGUACAAAUCACAUGAAAGAGUGCAGGCCUUUGAGCAUUGUACAAUACAAACAGUAUAUAUUACACAAAGAAUACAAAAAUGGGAAGAUCAGAGAAUGAAAAAAAUAGUACAAGUUAAGGAAAAAAUGGAAGAUGGAUGCUUCCGCACUCAGACUCUAAGCCUUCACUUUACAAUCUGAUUGGAGAAGAAGAAGAUACGUUCCUUGCAGAUGGUGAAAAGGCUAAUCCUUUCCACCUCUCUCUAGGGUUUGGCCCCUUCAGGUCAUUUGGUCGGUCCAUUCAGACAUCUGGCCCCCCUUUAAAUGGUGUAGAAUUAGGCUUUUUUUUAUAGACAAUUUUAGGUGAAAAAUUAUCCUUUCGAUUGUGUGUACCAAAGGUAAUCUCUACCAAUAGAUUACAUCACUCUAACUACUACUUUAUCUUCUAGCGAACUGCUUCUCGCUUCCUGAUAUGGCUUCUUGUCGAGUGUUAUCUCGCGAGAUCCUUUGCAAUUCACUAGCUUCUUCUUUUUGUUUGCAAACUUGUGUCAAAGCAUUAAAAACAAGGUAAAACAGGCAUGAGAGCUUAUGCAAGGUAUAUUUCUAUGUACUUAUCUAUUUUAACAUAAAAUAUACGUUUUGAUAUACUUCUACAUUUUGGCCUCAUUAUUCUAUAAAAAGAGGCUAUAAUAAUUUGUAUUUCUACAAGUUAUCAUCGCAUGUCUCCUUGGCCGUGUGAGUUGCAUCUCGCGUGCAUUCUCCUUGCGCGCCUUGUGCGUCUGACAUAAGCCCAAAACACGUCUCUAACUUGCAUGAUCAUCUCGUUUAGUGACCCUUGACGCUUAGCAAACCAUCACACUGUCUAGAAACUCAUUUUUGGCUAGAACCUUAACUCUACUUUAGAGAUCAAUACCUUAAAAUUCAGAACUCAAAGGAAAAUAUUUCCAUCUACAAAGUUGAUGAAAAAUGCCUUAACUUUCCUACCUAAUACAUUCUAGUCAAAAACUCCACAAAUUGCGUUAUGUAGUCUCUUUGGAGUGAAGACUGCUCCGAAUUCCUCUGAAAAUUACCUUUCUCCCUUCUUUCAACUUAAACUCAACCUUCCUCUCUUCAAAAUUCACUAGUAGCCCUAACUUAAAAAAUAAACUCCAAUUCUGAACCAUUGAGACCAAUUUAAGAAAAAACGCACAAGUAAAUUGGAAGAAAUUUCAAUUUGAAGUGACCUAUUUAUACUGAACCUUGCAUGAGAAAAUCUUGACACCUCUUGUUUGAAAAAAUUUAACAAAAGCAUGCACAUGACACUUGUAAAGCACUCCGCUGGCUCCACCUCUUCAACAUCUCACCUAACUUCACUCAAAAUGCCCAACCAAAACUCCUUGAGCCCUUAGAAAAGCUUUACUAACCUCUCUUGUCAAAGUCGUAAGACUCUUCUUGCAUAGCCAUGCCCUUCACACCUAACUUCUAAAUGCCACACUAACCUCUUAAGUAAGCUUUCUUGGCAAGCCUAAACGUCCAACAAACCUCUAAGCACAUGUCUUCUCACCUAGUCCAAACACCUAACAUACUUAGAGGCCUUCUUCAUCCUUCUUGGCCACACACACAACCAAAACUUGUUUUUGACCGCCUAGCAACAUCACCUUGCCUAAAUAAUCUCUUUAGAGGUUAUUUUCUCCUCAUGUGGCUGCUCACCAAGCCCAAAACACAUACACCAUAGACUUAGCCAAAAUUUUCCCCUUUCUAACUUAACUUUUAACUCAUUCCUUCAUAAGUUUUCUUCUUUACACCUAACAUGACACACUUACAAAUACACUUCUCAAGCUUGCUUUUCCAUCUUAACUUCAUUUAAAAUCAUAAUUUCAAACUCUUUGAAAAAUCAAAGUUCCUUAGGUUUGAGGUUUACAUUGAUUGUCUAGGUGAUACGCCUUCAUUAGGUCGAAGUGAUUUUUGGGGUGGGGUGUGACAAAUGUGGAGCUUGUAAAACUCUCUAGGUUUUUUUUUUUUUUUUUUUAGAUUUUUCUUUAUGUGUAUCUCCUUAAAUGAGAUUAUUUAUAACCAAAAUCAUUUGUUCAAAUUGCUAAAAAAUUGAAAGAAUACCAAUUUUGGCCUAACAACCAAAUUAAGCCAAAAUAGCAUGGAGUCUUUGACAACCUGCCACAUUUAGUAUUUUUUUACCUAUCUUAGUUAGUCUAACCAAUGAUUUAGUUACUUUAAAAAAACUGCCCACAAAAUUUUAAAAAUAGUUAAAUAACUUUUUUUUAAAAUGUGGUUAAUUAAAAAGUUAAAAAUGAACCAAAUUAAGUCAAAAAUUUAUCCAACAAUUGAAUUAAUUUUAAAUAAGGUCAGACAAAAAAUAGGUUGCUACGUCAUGCCCUCUUUCAUAUGUCCAUGUAGACUUUCAGGGUGGAGCCUUCAUUUCGUUGAGGUAAAAUACUUCAAACAAAUAAUUAUGUCAAGGGCAAAAGAUAAACAAACACAUUUUAACAAGAUAAAUGCUUCAAAGGCCAGGGAUAAAUAAGCACUUUCACAGCAAAAAAGUAUCAAGGGGCCAGGGAUAAACAAGCGCCUCUUAACAAGAUAAAAGCGUUAGAGGCUAGGGAUAAACAAGUGUCAUCACAACAAAACUAAAACAUUGGGGCUAGGGAUAAACAAGCACUUCUACAACAAGAAGUGUCAAGGGCAAAGGAUAAACAAGCACCACAUAACAAAAUAAAACACUGGAGGCUAGGGAUAACACAAGUGUUGUCAUAACAAAAGUGCCUCUAGAACAAAAAGUGUUGUCAUAACAAACAUUGAGGACCAGAGAUAAACAAGCACCUCUAGAACAAAAAGUGUUAAGGGCCAAGGAUAAAUAAGCAGUACAAGACAAAAUAAAAACAUUGUAGGCCAAGGAUAAACAAAUGUCAUCGCAAAAAAAUAAAAUGUCAAAGGCAAGGGAGAAAUAAGAACAUUUAUAGGAAAAAGUGUCAGGGGUCAGGGGUAAACAAGCGUUGUAACAACAAAAAUAAAAUGCUAGGAGCCAAGGAUAAACAAGCAUAUCCACAACAAAAUGUCAAGGGUUAGGGAUAAACAAGUGCCUCUGAUGUGGAAAAUUUAUUCACUUCCAUUCGAAUUCGGGGUUAUUUAAAUGCACAAUUAAUUCAAUGUGAUCAAUCAUUGGUCAUGAUCAUUGUAUCUGAAGUACUCACUAUGUACCUCUCUUUAUCGCGUAUCUACUAAGUCCUUGUUGAGUACAAGUUUUUCUACUGCUUACCCAAGUAUAAGCGAAACAAUAGGUUUAUGUGGUUGAUCUAGAGUCAAACACGGGGAAUUGAUAUCAAACGUAGUUUUAGAGCCUACUUAUCAAUUGGGCGAUAUAAAAGAAUUAACUAAAUAAAGUAUAAAAGAAUAAGAACCAAGAUUAAAACUACUUAUGUACACUUAGAGAAUUUGUAAAGGGAGAUAAAUGGAUGCAAAAUGGAGAUAUAAACUAACUUGCAUGUGAGAAAAAGGUGAAGGAAGGUUUACGCAUUAUUAGGCGAUUAAACCAUGCGAAAGCCUUGACGCGACAUAACUUGCUAAACUAGUUUAUGAUUAAGGUGAGGUUCUCUCAAAGUCUUUAGAUGUCACAUUUUCUUUCCUUCCGGGACUCAAGUGACUAAGUGUGAUUAGGCAAUUUAUAUCUAGAAGAAUUCACUUAUAAUACUUGUAGAACCUCACGAUGAAGAGCAACAACCUCUCGACGCCUUAUGUCCGCUUGUUCACCUUUCGAAAUACAAAUGAUGGAACUUAUCUCACAAGGUGGAGUUUAUCUCCAAACUCUUCCUUCCACGAGUUAGUAUUAUCCUUGCUACUUACCCUCUCGGGUAGUUGGCGAUAUAUGCUGGCCAAGCGAUGAACAUAGCUCAACUAACGUGACAAGAAUUAUAAGUUGAACUUCUUAUCAAGAACCUAUCACAAACUUAACUUCUAAUAACACAUUAAAAAGUGAAAAUUCAAGACAUGAAGGAUAGAAGAGGUAUAAUUAUGCAAUAUAUUAAAGAAUGCAGACCUUAGGCCAUUGUGCAAUAUGAACAAUAUAUAUUACAAAGAAAUACAAAAAUGAAAGACAAAGAAGAUGAAGAAUAUUACAAGUUAGAGGAUAAAUGGAAUAUCAGUUCCUCUUUACUUAGAAGCUAAGCUCUCACUUCCACAACUGAUCGAAGAAUAAGAAAAACUCUUUACAGUCGACAAAAAGGCUAUUCCUUUCUUCCAUUCUCUCGAGGUUUUGGACCAUUUAGGCCUCCUUUGGUACGGUGAAGAUGAAGUUCUUUUUUAUAGACAACUUUCAGCGAAAAUUUUCUAUUCUUCUGAGCAUGUCAGCGCUGCACGACGAAAGGUGUUUAUCGCAAGUCCAUCAUCUCUACCUACCAUUCCUGUCUCCUAGUGAACCGCUUUUCUUGUUGUGAUUUGGUCUUCUCGCAUGCCUAGAAAUGUUAAAUGUCAAUCAAAAUCUUAUCAUGUAGCGCUGACGUAAGUUCCCUUGCAAUUCACUAGUUCACUUCUUUUUAUUAAUCAUGCAUUAAGACACACUAAUUAUGGUAAAAUAGGAGUGAAGGCUUAUGUAAAAUCUAUUUCUCAGCAGUUAUGCAUUUUCAAAAUAAACUACGUGUUUUAAUGUACUUCUUUCCUAUUUUGAGCUCAUUAUUCUAAUAAAAAAAACUAUAAUAAUUUGUAUUUCCACAAGUUGUCAACCUCACGACGAAAAGAGAGUUAGAGGCCAAGUAUAAAUAAGCGUCAUUGCAACAAAAAUAAAUUUUGGAGCCAAGGAAUAAAUUAAAGGGAUAAAAGUCCUAUGGUAGUGGAAGAUUUAAAAAAAAACAUUACUCAAUUUAAUUUGGAAAUCUCAAAAUGCCACUACAUUGACAAAAAUUUAGAAUCAAAAUUCUAAAUAAAACUAAGCAUGCUUUAAAUUUAAAAGAUACAGUGAACUUACUUUUGUUGACGUCUCUAAAUCUGCAAAAUGUGGAAGGACAUCACCUAUUAAAGACCUUCCUAUCAUAUGGGAUGAGAUUGGUUUGUGAGAACCAAUUGGAAUGAAAAAAAAGUUUAGAGGUAUUUGAGAGAAACUAUUUUCUCUUUUAGGGGAAAAAAACAUUGGCUUACUUUUUCUUGAUUAAAUUCGUUUAAAGAAGACUAUUUUCUUCUAGAUACUUAUAACCCUCUUUUCUUCUUGGAAUAGGAAAGGGAAUUGGAGAGAAAGAUAUGAUUUUAUUAUCAAAUCUACUAAUUAAUCAAUAACUAACUAAUUAAAUAUGAUUUAAUUAAUUAUUAACUAAUUAAUUAAUACAAACUAAUUAAUUAAUUAGUUAAUAAUUAAUUAAAUCAUAUUUAAUUAAUAUUUCAUUCAAAUCUCAUUUGAAUUAAUAUCUCUCCAAUAUCUUAUAAAUUUAGUUAAACCAAAUUUAAUUAAAGAAAACUAAACUAUUAAUUAAUUAAUAGUUAAAUUAAAUAUCUUAUAUUUAACUUAAAUUAAAUUUGAACCAUACUCAAAUAUAAGUUUCUCUCAUAAUCAAUAGUUUUAAUAUGAAUCCAAUUCACAUUAAAUUAAUAUUUGAAUUCAUUCCAAUAUUUUAUCUCUCAUAAAUUAAUUUUGAAUCAUAUCCAAAAUUAAAUUUGUAUAAUAAAGUUUGAUAAAUUUUAUAUUAUAAUGAAUCACUAUAUAUUAAACUAAUUCUCAAAGUAAAUUUGAACAUUUCAAACUACAACCAAUAUAAAUAAAUCUCAUUACCCUUUACGAGCUAGAAAGGGAACCUAAUGGACCUACAAAUGAAAAUCUACAACGAUUUGAGAUUAAUUGACUAAACUCAUUAACCACAUUUAUCAAUAUUCGUUAACUGUGUAUACACUUCACUAAAGACUCGUAGUUGAGCUCUUCUUACUGUAGAUAUAUUUCUAUGUUUACGAAUACAGACCAAUAAUAGUAAGUUAGUCCUUCACGACUGUUCGUAACACUAACUAGGUUAAUUUACCGUUUUACCCUUGGUUACCUAUAAUCCUUAAAUACCAUGCUCCUUUAGUGAACAACUUGUUUAUGGUCCUACCAAUAAACAAAAACUCAUCUCGUGCCAAAGAGAGAGUAGGGCCCUUUAUUAGACUUGGAGACACCAUUUAAAGGAACACUCAUCUAGUUACCUUAAAGUAGGGAAUAGAUGAAUUUCAUCUUGUGUAAUUAUUUUCCUAGCUCUCAACUCGGUCUUGUCCUCAAAAUGAUAAGCUUAUUGAGUCGGUGAUCUGACCAUUCUCAUCCGUACAAAUCAAAGGACAAUCUCACGCGAAUAGGAGUUCAUAAUACACUCAAGAUUAAGACUAAGUUACCUAGGUCAUCCUAAUGAAAUUGAAACCUAACUAGUUAACAGAUUUAUAUUUAGUGGUUACUAUUUCGCGGUCCAGUCUAGGAUACCCUCACUCGCAUGUCACCUAUACAAACACGUUGGAUCAUUGCGUUUGUAUCAAAUACAAAGUGAGUCGUAUCCAUAUUGUUACUAGAAUAAGGUACCCAACCUUAUCUCUAUACUAUAGAUCCUUUAAACUGAUCUCGAACAUUGAUCCAUGUGUGUCUCUACAUAAUGUUCAAGACUCAUUAAACAGCUUAAGAUGUUAGUUUAUUGGAUUUGAGUUAUUAUGACAAAACUAAUAAUAUAAUAAAUAACAAUUAUUAUAAUAAUAAUACUUUAUUAAUAACGGUCAAUGAAUUAUAUUUACAAUUUACGAGUUUUAGGACAUAAAUCCCAACAUAAACAAGCACCUCCACAAUAAAAAGUGUCAAAUACCAUGGAUAAAUAAACGUCACAUAACAAAAAUAAAACGCUGGGAGCUAGGAAUAAACAGGCACCUCCAAAGAAAAAUGUCGGAGCCAAGCAUAAACAAGUACCUCACGACGAAAAGAGAGUUGGAGGCCAGAGAUAAAUAAACUUCAUCUCAACAAAAAUAAAUACUAGGGGCUAGAGAAAAACAAGCACCCCUACAUCAAAGAGUGUCAAAGGCAAUGGAUAAACAACCGGGACAUUGCUAAAUAAAACGCUAGAAGUUAGGGAUAAACAAGCACCAUCAUAACAAAAAUAAAAUGUUGAAGGACAAGGAUAGACAAGCUAUGCCAUCGCAAAAUGUUGAGGGUUAGAGAUAAGCAAGUGCCUCACGACUAAAAGAGAGCUGGAAGCUAGGAAAAAACAAACACCAUCGUAGCAAAAAAUGAAAAGAUAAAUGUUAUUCAUGAAUGCAUAUAAGCAUGCUUAUUGUUACGCCCCAAAAAUGACCCAACAAAUUUUUCGCAAACUAAGGCUCCUUAGCAUUGCCCAAGAGGAGCCAACCAAGUCCCAAGUAGUCCAAAGACCCAAGGAAGAGGAACCAGUUCACGCCAAGCCUAUGACACGCCAAUGUGCAGGAGACUAGCGUGUGCGGCCCUGUCAUGACAUGGGCGCGCGCGCGCGCAAGGGCGGCAGGCAGACAAGCGGACGCGCACGGCAGAUGGGCGCGUGCGGCAUGGACGUGCGCGCAAGGCCAGUCGGACGCGCGCGCUACACUAGCGCGCGCGGGAAGCGGACACGGAGCGCACGGAGCGCGCGGAGAAGCAUCCGGGAACCUCUCGAAGGUUCCAGAAGAAUCGCGAGCGGCCGAGAAGGCUCGCGAACACGCGCGAAAGCGUGCGCGCGCCAGACGGCCCCAGACGCCUUCAGAAGCUUCUGGACAGUGUCAUGAGCGCUCGGGAAUUUUCCAGAUUGCAUUUGCCGACCUUGUAAGGCGGUUUAGGGCUUGUUAAUAGGUUGUAUACUUCUAUAAAUAUCCCAAAGGGGUCCAUUUGUACAGACAACACAGAAUCCUUGGGAAUUCAUCAACAAAGCUCUCUUAAGCAUUUUAUCAAACACCUUGUCUACAACUCUUUGCCUACUUCUUACCUACGAAUUUCCUUCUUCCUUAGUUUGUUCCAACAAGUCCAAUUACUCUUAGGCUUACAUUGGUGCAACCCCAACACCUUUGUGCCGCACGUUGGUUUUGUGAUUAAAAUAACCACGUGACAGGUGGUAUCAGAGCGUGUUCGUUCAAAGGGACAUACUCUUGAUCGUUGCUAUCAAGUGCACGAUACCGAGAGACCAAGAUUCAAGACUCUAGUUCUUGAAACGUUGUCAAAGUAACGGAACACAGUUUCUACACCCACUUAAUCCCUAGUUGACUUGUGAACAAGAUGUCCAGCGAAGAAGGCCACAUUUCAGCCCAAGCUGAGCAAGUUCUUGAAGGACCUAUCACACGAGGUAGGAAGGACCGACGAUCCCCGACCCGACGAUCGAAAUCUAAGGGUCCGGAUGCAAGGGAGCAUGUCGAAACUCGCCUUGCCAACCUUGAGCAAAGUCUCGAGGAUGUCCAGCACACGGUAGAAGAGUUGGGUGAUAACUACGAAGAGCUUAUUCAGGAGAAUGUGGAAAUCUCCGCAGCAACCAAGGAGCUCGUGGCCGACCUUGGAAAAACAUUCCAAAAGGAUUUGAAAGAGUUGUCAUCAACCGUAACCACUUUGAAGACAUUUGUUGAAGGUGAGUUACGCGAACUCUAUUCUAGGUAUAUUUCCCUAGAUGCAAAGGUAGAUACUCUUUGCAUGGAAUGUCGUUCCAAGCACUUUGGUGGAGACGGUCCAUCCACCAGUACACACACCGCUGUGCAAGGCACUACUCACAUAAAAGUGCCGAAACCUGACACAUACAAUGGGGUGAGGAAUGCCACGGUUGUGGAAAACUUCCUCUUUGGCCUUGACCGAUACUAUGUAGCUGUCGGUGUUCGAGAUGAUGAGGCCAAGAUAAACAAUGCCCCGACAUUCCUAAGGGAUGCCGCACAACUUUGGUGGCGUCGAAGAUACGCUGACCAAAAUGGGAAUGCCAUCCAGACGUGGGAACAAUUCAAAGCCGAACUAAGAAAGCACUUCGUUCCCCACAAUGCUGAAAUGGAGUCAAGAGCCAAACUUCGAAGUCUAAGACACACAGGUAACAUUCUCGACUAUGUGAAGGAAUUUACCACUAUUAUGCUUGAAAUUAGUGAUCUGCCCGAGAAGGAAGCCCUAUUCCAAUUUAGAGAUGGAUUGAAAGAUUGGGCCAAGGUUGAGCUAGACCGUCGCAAUGUCCAAACAUUGGACGACGCUAUAGCCGCAGCUGAGAUGCUUAUCGAUUAUACAACCCAAUCAAAGGAGAGAAAACCUAGCCCAAGUAAACGUGAAGGCAAUCACUACAAGCAUAGAGACUCCGAGCAAAAGGAAAAGGGAAAGAAGGCAUUCCAAAGACAUGGCAAGUAUCACAAAACUCAACAAGGUGAGUCGUCCAAACCUUCUCCCUGUUUUGUUUGUAAUGGCCCUCAUCGGACAAGAGACUGUCCGAAUAGAAAAGCAAUGAAUGCACUUGUUGCCAAAUUGCUCGAGUCCAAGCAAGGAGAUGAUACACCACAGAUUGGUUCCUUGCAACACAUUGGAGCUCUGAAACAGGCCAAUCAAACAACUAAAGGAGGCCUACUCCAUGGAAAUGUAAAGAUAAACGGGAGAGAGGCUAUUGCCAUGUUUGACACCGGUGCGAGUCAUAACUUCAUGAACGUGAAUGAGGCUAAGAGAAUAGGCCUCAAGUUCACAAACGAAGAGGGGACUGUCAAGGCGGUAAACUCAGAAGCACAAGCCAUCAAAGGUGUAGCAAGAGGUGUAACAGUCAAGAUCGGUGAUUGGCAAGGUAAGCUCGACUUCACCGUGCUACCUAUGGAUGACUUUGACAUUGUGCUUGGCUUAGGGUUCUUCGAUAGAGUAAUUGCUAUCGUUGACUCCUCCGGAUGUACCCUGACGAUAGUGGAUGGUCAAAUAACGACCAUCCCACUAAAGAAGGGAAAACCAACAAUCAGAUUGUCAGCCAUGCUAAAUAAGGAGGGAGUCGCCGAAACCCAACAUCAAACAGUACCGUCGAGAGAGACAAAUUCUAAACCAACAGUCCCAACAGAACACAAGGACGUUAUGCUCGAGGCAAAGUCAGGAAACGCCGAUGCAGUCAAUAACGUCGUAAGCCAGAAGGCAAAACUGGCUGCUAUAACCACCAGCAUGUCCAGAAGUGACUUCCUUAACAGAAUCAAGGAACGGCACGAAGAAUGUGAUAUAUCAAGGGCAUGCCUGGCGAAGGCCGCCACUAAAAUGAAAAAGUGGGCGGACCGGAAAAGGAGGGCUAGAGAGUACCAAGUAGGGGAAAAAGUAAUGGUAAAGCUGCUACCAAACCAAUUUAAAUCCCUACGCAAGGUACAUAAAGGCCUAAUCCGAAGAUACGAAGGACCCUUCUCUAUCAUUGAGAAAGUGGGCAAAGCAGCUUAUCGAUUGGAACUUCCUCCCAGACUGAAGAUCCAUAAUGUCUUCCAUGUGAGCAUGUUGAAGCCUUUCUAUGAAGACAAGGAGGAUCCAAGCAGAGGUGAGUCCUCUCGUGCACCUACCGGCAUGAUCUCAGAGUUCGACAGGAAAAUCAAGGAGAUCUUAGCGGAGAGGAAGAUACGAAGGAGAGGAGUUCCCAGUUAUAACGAAUAUUUGAUUGCUUGGGAAGGACUACCCGAAAGCGAAGCAAGUUGGGAAAAGGAAGACACCCUAUGGCAAUUUCAAGAUGAAAUCAGAAGAUUUCAAGAAAGCGCAACGGGGACGUUGCGAAAUCGAGUGGGGGAGGGUGUCACGCCCCAAAAAUGACCCAACAAAUUUUUCGCAAAUUAAGGCUCCUUAGCAUUGCCCAAGAGGAGCCAACCAAGUCCCAAGCAGUCCAAAGACCCAAGGAAGAGGAACCAGUUCACGCCAAGCCUAUGACACGCCAAUGUGCAGGAGACUGGCG